CCAACUGUUGUACCUGCAAAAAAGCUGGCAACAAAGCUGGAGAGCAAGCAUGGAAUGCUUUCUGAAGUUAGAUAUUGUUCAAAAUAAGGAACAGAGAACAACAAGGGCUAUCAACUACACAUACUGUAGGGGUAAAGUAACUGCUAUUGAAUUCAUUAAGAUGCAAUAUAAUGUAGGAAUUAACAGAGCAAGCAAAUGUCUGUUAUUUUAGAACAAACUCCAGGAAUCAGGGGUAAAUUAUCUAUGUGAACUCUUCGCAAUUUGGUGCAGAUGCAGAACUCUUUCACAUUCUGGUCAUCAUAUUGCUCAACUUCUCCCAUUCUAAGCCAAACAUAGUUCAAAAUUUGAAACUGUAUGUGCUAUAACAUAUACUAAUAGCCAAGAAUGCAGAGACAUUAAAACUGUUCAGGUUUCCAAAGAAGCACAUAAUUGUUAGAUACAUUUUUCUAACUAUAAUUGAAGUCAAGUCCCCUAAGUCCAUGAAGGAUACAAGUAAUUUCAGGGUAUAUGAAUCUUAAUUACAAGCCAUCAAUUUAGAAGUCCAAAACAAUAGUUUAUAGCCUAACAACAGACCAACAUUCUAGCACCCAAUGCUGGACAUAUUGCUCAAUGUUUUUCAUUCAUAAGCUAAGCAUAAUGAGAAUUCUAAACUGUGAAAAAGCCUAGGUGAUCGAUCAUGCCAUUAAUGCACAAAUUAAUUUUCAGACAUUCCAGGAUGUCCAAAACAUACGUGAUCCUAGCCACAUUUAGCUAACUACGUGCAAGAAUGAUACAAAAUGUCAAAUCCCUCCAUUCAUGUGCCCUUGUACUCACAAGUCCUUACUACAGAAUUUUCACAGAGAGAAUAGUCAUUCAAAUUGAAGAUGAAAAACAGUAGUUUCUACAAGGAUAAAGUUUUUAUACUAAUCAGCAAAAAGCCUUUCUCUGUACACAAUUGAAGACUACAAAAAUCAGUUUCCUGAUAAUAUGAUAUGAAAAGAAAGCAGUAAAAGCAACCACAUAAAACAUCAACAGCAGAUAUCUGAACAAUGUUUAGCAUCUUUUGAGCCUUACUUUUGAUGCAUUUCGAAGAGAUAUUUGGUAAGAAGGCCAACAGAAGCCCCGAAGGAAAAGGCAUAAAUCAUCAAUAGUGAGCGCCUUUGAUUCUGCAUAGACAGAGGAUUUACAAAAUAAGAAGCGACUUGAAGAACAGUUCAGCAACUUGGAAGAAAAUCUACGAGUCAUUGAUCACGUACCAGUCUCCAUGGUGGUGUAAAGUAAAGCCAGAGUAAACUUGCUACACAACAGAGGACUGUGAACAGCCCUCCCACUUCCCAGAACAAGUGCAAGUAGGAUCCAAUAGUAGAGCAAAACAUGACAUUGAAGAAAGUAAAAUACACCUAUAUCAUCAGUAAAAACGAAUCAAUCACAGGAAAAGGGCCCUUCAUAGUGUUGGAAUUAGAAGCUGAAAUCUGAAAUUGCACGAAACAGACUAAUCCGUCCCAUUCAAUUGUUAUGCUACUUUCAUUCAAAACAACUUCUAAGACUGAAUAGGGAGCCAGGCUUCAAUAACAAACUCGAUACAAAAUGUUACUCCAGUUGUUUUAUCACUAACGUCAUAAGCAAGUGCAGAGGAACAGCAAAAAUUACGGCAAUACUUUAAAAUCUUCUGAGAAGCAGAAUUCAUCAAUCCUGAAGAUUUUAGAAAAGCAAGUAGAAUGUUGCCUUAUUUCUUACUGUUAAAAAACGAAUCGACUAUGAUUAUCCGCAAUAUUCCGAGAACCGAAAUUCAUCAAUAGUGAAGAUAUAAAAAAUUUAAGGAUUUAGCAUCAUCUUCUGAUCAGCUAUUAGUAACAUGACUAAAAUCUCGAUUUCUCAAUCUUAUAUUACAACAUUUUUCUAAAUCAAUAUUUUGAUCAGAACAGUAAUUCUUAGGUAUAGGAUAAAUGUACCGCAUUCAAGAUGUCGAGAGUUUCCUGGUUAACUUUUCCAGAUUUCAUCAGGUCUUCUCUUCCCCAGUUCCUGUUGAAGUACGAUUUCACAGCAUUCAUCGCAUGGAGUUUCAGCUCUGAGAACUUCAUCUUUCUUCUCUAUUUUUUUCAGAGAGAAAAUGGAAAUGGAAAAGUGAUGAGGAAGAAUGAGGAGCGUGAGCUGUUUUUAUAGUUUUGCAGAGAAGAGUUCAUUACCAACGACUGCCCUUGCCAUUACUCUAUUUCAGAUAUUUACGGUUUUACCUUUCAGUUAUGGGCUGAAUUUUGGGAAUAAGAUGGGGUAAUUUCGUCAAGGAAGUAAAAGAAUCUCCUGACUCAGAUCAUUGGCGGGAAGGUUUUCCUUUUUCUCAUUUGGUUUUUUUAAAUUACUCCUGUGGAACAAUUGUAUUUCUGAUAUAAAAAAAAAGUCGAAAACUUAUCAGUUUUUGAUGAAUUAUGUUGAAACAAUGUUUUUUCUCUUUCUUUAUUUAUCAGCAACACUAAUAUAUGUAAGUUCAAAUUCAAUUGUUAUCCUUUUCGGCUCGUUAAUAAACCCAUAAUGAAUUCCAGUUCAUUGUAAAAGAAAGUUGAUGUUUAUUUUGGUUGUCUUUGACAAUGAAGAAAAUAUUUUCAUAGAAAAUGAAAUAGAUAACAAAUCGUUCGUGUGUUUUCUAAAAAGGUGCAAAUAAAUACGUUUUCCUGUUAAAACAAUUGAAAUGUCUUUAUCUGGUUAACAAAGAGUGCUUAUACAUUGGGGGUGAGUGGUGACCAACAGAGAGCAAAAUAGACCAACUGAAAAAAUUGGUAAGUGGUUUUCGAAAAUUGAUGUGAAGAGAAAAGCUAACCGAUUUGUAGCUAAAAUUAUGUGAAAAAAUUGGGAUUACAAUUACUAUUUGCCAAGGAAUAUAAUAUUCAAAGCACUUAGCUUCAGACUAACGAAUUUCAAAUUUGAUCAGUAAAAUGUAGUGAAAAAGGAAUACUUUUCAUCAUUUACAGUUCCUCAUCUGCAUUCUACUCUCUAUUUAUUCUACAGUUCCAAGUGUAUCAGCAUUAAUUCUGUCGGUGUUGCUCAAUUUUUGCACCCAGGCAUAGUCUUGCAGCAUGGACCACUAUACCCGGUAAAUGGAAGAAGAUGGUGACUGUGCGAUUGACAAAGUUAAUUUCUCCAAAGUGAGCAUCAUACAAUAUCUCUUGGCUAUAUACCACAACGUACCCCAAGAAUAAUGCAAGCACAACGCAUACCUAUCACACAAGCAGUACUCAUCAUCAAGUCAGUCAUAUUAUUCGUUCAUUAGACAGAAGCAAUGAUUUAUAGGAUGUGUGUGAGCAAAUUGUAUGCAUGCCACUGCUUACCUUUAACAUCCAAUAAGCUGCGUGUCUGUCAAUGAAUUCGAAAGUUCUAACAACACAGGUGGCAAACAUUAGACUCAAAGGAUAGCUCGGGCAGUUGAUGUAGAUUUCUCUCCUUUCCCUCGAUAACAAGGAUUCAAUCCAGAAAGUUCCAAUGGCAAGUGUUGGACCUGCAUAAAGGCCGACAACAAGGCUGGAGAGCAAGCAAGGAAUGCUUUCUGAAGUUAGAUAUUUUUCAACUUACCAAAUAUUCUUCAAAUAAGGAACACACAACAACGAGAGAUAAUCAACUACACAUAAAGAUGGAGCAAAGUAACUGCUAUUGAAUUCAUUAAGAUGCAAUAUAACGUAGAAACUGAAAGUGCAAGCAAACGUCUUUGUCAUAUUAGAAAUGACUUCAAGAAUUCAGUGUAAAAUUAUUUAAGUGCACUCUUUAUAAUUUCGUCAUGUUUCUUGGUUUCACUCAUUUAUGCGCCCUACUUGGUGCAAAUGAAGAACUCCUUCACAAUUUGGUCAUCAUAUUGCUAAAUUUCUAUGUGCCAUAACAUAUACUAGUAGCCAAGAAUGCACCUAAUGGUGAGAUACAAUUUUCUAACUGUAACUCCAGUAACAUACCCUAAAUCCAUGAAAGAUACAAGUAAUUACAGGGUAUAGGAAUCUGAAGUACAAGUCAACAGUUUACAAGUCCAAAAACAAUAGCUAAUAACCUAACAACAGACCAACAUUCUAACACCCAAUACUCAUAUUGCUCAAUAUUUCCCAUUCAUAUGCUAAGCAUAAUGCCAAUUCUGAACUGUGAAGACCUAGGUAAUCGAUCAUGCCAUUAAUGCACAAAUGUGAUCCUAGUAGCCACUUUUAGCUAACUGCGUGCAAGAAUGAUAAAAAAUGUCAAAUUCAUCCACUCCAAUACUAUUGUUCUCACAAGUCCUUAGGUAAGAAUUUUCACAGAGGAGGUAGUCAUUCUAAUAAACAUGAAAAACAAUACUUAGUUUCUACAAGGAUACUAACUUUUCCAGUUAGGAUUUCGAGUAGAUCUAAUGAUUAUUAAGGAUAAAGUAAUCACAAGUAUAAAUACCAAUCAGAAAAAAGCCUUUCUCUGCACAUAAAGACUACAAAAAUCAGGUUCCUGAUAAUAUGAUAUGAUAAGAAAGUAGUAAAAGCAAUCAUAUAAAACUUCAACAGAAGAUAUCUGAACAAUGUUUAGCAUCUUUUGAGUCUUACAUUUGAUUCAUUCCGAAGAGAUAUUCGAUAUAAAAGCCAAAAGAAGCACCCAUGUUACAGGCUGCAAACAUCAAGAGUGAGACCCUCGUCCUCUGCAUAGACCGAAGAUUUACGACAUAAGAAGCGACUUCAAUAAUAAAUCAACAACUUGGAAGAAAAUCUACAAGACACUUAUCACUUACCACUCUCAAUGGUGAUAUAAAGUAAAGACAGAGUAAACUUGCUACAGAAGAAAGGACUGUGAACCGCCCUCCCGCUUCCCAGAUCAAUUGCAAGAAAGAUCCAAAAGAAAAGCUCCACAAGGUACAUAAGAGAGUAAGAUACACCUAUAUUUUCAGCAAACUAAUCAAUCACAGGAAAAAAGGGGAAUCCAAUACUUGGAAGCAGAAGUGAAAAUGCAUCUUUUCCGGCUAACUAGGUUUUGCAAAGAAAGAAAAGAUCAAACACAAGAUGCUGAAACCUGAAAUUGCAUGAAACAAGUAAAUCCCUCCAUCCAAAAUUAUAUGAAACAAAUACAUUUUGGGAAGCUUGAAUGCACUUGGCACCAUUAAACUUCAUUUAAACUAUUCAAAAACAACUUUCAAGACUGAAUAGGGAGCAUGGUUUCAAUACCAAACUUGACUCGAAAUGCUUAACAAAAGUUGCAUGUUACUCCAAUCAUUUUGUCAGAUUAUCACUAACAGCAUAAGCAAGUACAAAUUAAAAGAAGAGAAAAAACUAUGGUAAUCCUUGUAAAAUAUUCAGAAAAAUCGAAAUUCAUCAUGAAUACUGAAGAAUUAAGUAAGCAAGUACAAAAGAAGAGAAAAAUUACAGUAAUACAUGUAAAAUAUUCAGAAAAAUCAAAAUUCAUCAUGAAUCCUGAAGAAUUAAGUAACACUAAAACAAAUCGAUUCCAAGUAGAUCUCCUGGUACAGCUAUCAAUAAUGAGAUCACGUACAGUUACAAUAUUUUUAAUUAACUCGAUUCCUCAAUCUCUCGAUCACAAUAUUUUUCAUAAUAAACAUUUUAAUCAAGUAGAACAAUAAUACUUACACUUGUGAUCAAAUAUAAAGAAAAAAUGAAACCGUAAGAAUGAAUGUACCCUCUUCAAGCUUGCAUAAACGUUCUCGGGAAUUUCACCAUUAUUCAUCAGGUCUUCUCUUGUCCAAUUCCUUACGAAGUAAGCUCUCACAGCCUUCCUUGCCUGGAGUUUCAUAUCUGUGAACUUCAUGUUUUUUGCUUCAGAGAGAAAAGGGAAUCGGAAAUUUGAUGAAGAUGAAUGAGGAACUUGAGCUGUGUUUGUUAUACACAGAAGAAGAGUUCGUUACCAACAACUGCCCCUCGCAUUUCCUCUGUUUGGGAAAUAUUUACAGUUCUACCUUUCGGUUUUUGGCUGAGUUUAGAGGAUAUUGCAGGGGUACUUUCGUCAAAGCAGAAAAGGAGAACAAUCUCCAGGCUCAGGUCGUUGGCGGGAAAGGGGAGAGGUAGGAAUAAAUUUAUUUUUGACUAAAUUAAUUACAUAAAAAUGCCCCAAUCCAAAAUAUUUCCCUAAAUUAAUUGAGAUUGAUUUUUUAUUUUUAAGAGAUUGAAUAUUAGUAUUAGUAUUACUUUCUCCUUGUAUAUAUAUAUUUUUUCUCAAAUUGCACAUAUAAUUUUGAAGGAGCAAUUUUGUAAAUAAAUGAACGAAGGAAAUCUUAGUGCUACGACAAUAAUAUAUUCAUAUAUAAGGUAGAAAUUGAAAGAGCGUGCCAGUUAACAUUUCCAGAAUUCAUCAGGUCUUCUCUUCCCCAAUUCUAUUGAAGUACGAUUUCACAGCAUUCAUUGCUAGGAGUUUCAGCUCUGAGAACUUCAUCCUUCUUCUUCAUUUUUUUCCCGAGAGAAAAUGGAAAUGGGAACAAUUGUACUUCUUAUAAAAGAAAAUUGUUAUUUUGUUGCUGAUAGGGAGUUUUGAUGAUUUAACAAAAUUUGGGAAUGAUAAAAAAAGGGGACCAAUUCAGUUACCUGAAGAGUCAUGUUGAUAGGGGGGGAAAGGUGAAUAAGUCUAUUAUCAUCAAAAAGGAGGAAAAUAUUAUUUUGAAGCUGAUGUGAAGUUUUGAUGAUUUAACAAGCUUCGAGAAUGAUGAAAAAAGGGGACCAAUCCAGUUACCUAAAGAGUCAUGCUGAUAGGGGGAAGAAGGUGAAUAAGUCUGUUAUCAUCAAAAAGGGGAAAAAUGUUAUUUUGGAACUGAUGUUAAGUUUUGAUGAUUUCACAAACUUAGAGAUCUAAAAAAGGAGCAGAUCCUUGUUAUUGAGACUGACGAUAGGGUAAAUGAAUAAAUAAACUCAGCAUGAGAAAUAUUUGUGUGUCAUCAUCAAAAAGGAGGAAAAUGUUGUUUUCUAGGUGUUUUGAUGAUCCUCACAAAUGCAGGGACCCGGUCCCUGGCGGAGUGCUCUCGUCUAGAUUCAAAAUGGUGUACAACUGUAAAGUUAUCUUGUCAGGUUAGUUGGUGAAAAGUGCAGUGUACUUCACCAAUAGGAAGGACAGACGAGGUUGUUUGUAUUAGUGGUCAAAAUUCUUGUUGGUGACUGAUAUAUACAACAAUAAACAAACAAUAUUAUUCAUUCAAAAAGAGAGAGCGUUAGCAAGUCUUUUUCAAGAACACACUGCAAGGGACCUGGUCCCUAAAAGACUGCGUACAUGAAAAAGACGAAAAGACAACUGUUUAAAAGUUGUCACAUCUGACAUGGUUGGUGCACAACUUUUCAGAAAAGCAGCUCUCAGCCAAUGGUCUCACAAGACACAAACCAAGAUUUGGCAAACAAAGAUUUGAAUUUCUGAAAUUCAUAAGCUUACAAAGAAGAAGCCAUCUUCAAGGAAGAACACUGCUCAUAUCAACAAGGGACCUGAUGGAGUGCUGAAGAGUCUUUGUUGUAUUUUGAGCUCUGUAUCUUAUGUGCUUACAUUGUAAAUCUACUCCUAAGUUAUAAAGGAUAGUAGAUCAUUUGCUUGUCUAAGUUCUUAGUUUGAGUCGUAUUAACUAGAGUUAGUUAGUCGAAUCAUCUAUUUUUAGUCAAGCCUCUUUACAUCAUUGUUUUGAUGUUCUCUUGGGUAGAGUUGCCUAGGAGUGUCAACUAGAGUUAGUUGAUGUGUGGUGCAACAGAGGUGCUGCUCGUUUAUGCUCUUGUCUUAGAGAUCGGAGUUGGUGGCUAGAGCUAGCCUUGUGGGUUCUUAAAGUAUAGAUCAACUAGAGUUAGUUGGUUUAGUGGACAAUAGGAUUAUUGUUUAGUUUCCUUUGUAGUAGAGUUGCUACUGUAACGGGGAAGGGAUUAAAGAGUUUUAAUUCCUAGGUUGCAAGAGUUUGUAAUUGGAAACUUUGCUCCGUUUAAAUGAAAUGGAGUUUGGGUUGAAAUUUUGUGAGUAUAGGUCGUGUUUUUCAUCGCCCUUGAGCAAGGGGGUUUCCAUGUAAAAUAUUGUGCAUGAUUUACAUGGUGCUAUUUAUUUUCUGUUCUUUUAUUCUGUCGGGGAACCUGGUCCUAAUCACUGGUGGACACGUACAUUCCAACAAAAACCUUAAACUACUACUCAAAAAUCACAAACAACGAAAACAUCACACGUUAUUCAUAUCAGUUGCGAUGAAGAUUUCCUCUAAUCUAUUGGUUUCAUGUGCUGCUCCCUUGGGUGCUGUUGGAAUCGAGAGCGUGAGAACUACUUUGCUUGAAGCGCUAGUUUUUGGUGAAAGUUGUUGAGAAAAUGUUUUUUCUCUUUCUUUAUUUAUUAGCAAUAAUACUAUAUGUAAGUUCAUGUUAAGAAGUCCCACAUCGGUAGAGGGAUGAAAAUUUGGUCUCCUUAUAAGGACUUGGACAAACCUCCCCUCAUGGGCUAGCUUUUGAGGUUUAGUUAGGCCCAGGUGUCAUAUUUUUACAUGGUAUUAGAGUCAGGCCCAUCCCGAUUUGUUGUUCGACUUGUGAAUAUAUCCAUAAUGAAUUAAUUCUAGUUCAUUGUAAAGAAAGUCGACAUGUAUUUUGGUUGUGUUUGACAAUGGAGAAAAUAUUUUCCUAGAAAAUGAAAUAGAUAACAAAUCAUUCAUGUGUUUGCUAAAAAGUUCCAAAUAAAUACUUUUUCCUAUUAAAACAAUUGAUUAGUCUUAAAAGGAGUACUAUUUGGUUAAGCAAAAGUGCUCAUCACCAACAGAAAGUAAAAUAGACCAACUGAAAAAAAAUUGAAAGGGUUUUUGAAAAAUUGAUAUCAAGAGAAAAGCUAACCGAUUUGUAGCUAAAAUUUUGUGAAAAAAUGGGAACGCUAGAAUAUACAAUUACUAUUUUCCAAGGAAUAUAACAUUCAAAGCACUUGGCUUCAGACUAAUGAAUUUCAAAUUCCCCAUCUGGAUUCUACUCUCUAUUUAUUCUACAGUUCCAAGUGUAUCAGCAUUACUUCUGUGAUUCUAUUUGUGUUGCUCAAUUUAUGCACACAGGCAUAGUCUUGCAGCAUGGACCAAUAUACCCGGUAAACGGAAGAAGAUGGUGAGUGUGCGAUUGACAAAGUUAAUUUCUCCAUAGUGAGCAUCAUACAAUAUCUCUUGGCUAUAUACCACAACGUACCCCAAGAACAAUGCAAGCACAAUGCAUACCUAUCACACAAGCAGUACUCAUCAUCAAGUCAUUCAUUAGACAGAAGUAAUGAUUUAUAGGAUGUGUGUUAGCACAUUGUAUGCAUACAACUGCUUACCUUUAACAAAAAAUGAGAUGUCUGGCUGUCAAUGUAGUCUGCAUUACUAGCAACAAAGGUGGAGAAACAUAGAGCCCAAGAAUAAUACAGGCAGCCCAAGUAGAUAUCACUCCUUUCCCUCGUAAACAUGGACCCAAACCACAUAAAUCCAAUGGAAAAUGUUGGAGGUGCCAAAAGGCUGUAAACAAGGCUGUAGAGCAAGCAAGGAAUGUUUUCUGAAGUUAGAUAUUUUUCAAAUUAACAAAAUAUACUUCAAAUAAGGAAACACAGAACAGCAAGAGAUAAUCAACUACACAUACAGAAGGAGCAAAGUAACUGCUAUUGAAUUCAUUAAGAUGUAGAAAUUGAAAGAGCACUCUUCCAAUGCCUUUGUUCUCAAAAGUCCAGAGUAGGUAGUCAUUCUAAUUAAAGAUGAAAGCAGUAAAAGCAACCAUACAGAACAUCAACAACAGAAAUCUGCACAAUGUUUCUAGUCUUACUCAUGAUCUAUAUCAAAGAAAUAUUUGAUAAAAAUGCCAAUAGAAGCACCGAUGGAAAAGGCAGCAAUCAUCAAGAGUAAGACCCUCGUCCUCUGCAUAGACAGAAGAUUUACGAUAUAAGAAGCGACCUCAAAAAUAAAUCAACAAUUUGGAAGAAAAUUUACCAGUCACAGUGCACGUACCACUCUUAAUGGUGAUAUAAAGUAAAGACAGAGUAAACUUGCUACAGAAGAAAGGACUGUGAACAGUCCUCCCGCUCCCCGGGUCCAGUGCAAGAAGGAUCCAAAAGUAAAGCUCCACAUGGCAAAGAAGAGAGUAAGAUAUACCUAUAUUUCAGCAAACUAAUCAAUUACAGGAAAAAAGGAGAAUCCAAUACUUUGAAGCAGAAGCGAAAACGCAUCUUUUCCAGCUAACUAGGUUUUGCAAAGAAAGAAAAGAUCAAACACAAGAUGCUGAAACCAGAAAUUGCUUGAAACAAAUUAAUCCCUGAGUCCAAAAUUAUAUGAAACGAAUUCAUUCUGGGAAGUUUGAAUGCAAUUUCAUCCAAACUAUUCAAAAACAACUUUCAAGACUGAAUAGGGAGCAAUGUUUCUAUACCAAACUUUACUCAAAAUGCUAAAGAAAAGUUACAUGUUAUGCCAAUCGUUUUGUUUGAUUAUCACUAACAGCAUAAGCAAGUACAAAAGACAAGAAAAAAUUAUGGUAAUACAUGUAAAUAUUAAGAAUAAUCGAAAUUCAUCAUGAAUCCUGAAGAAUUAAGUAAAGCAAGUACAAAAGAUGAGAAAAAAUUACGGUAAUACAUGUAAACUAUUCAGAAAAAUCAAAAUUCAUCUUGAAUCAAUUCCAAGUAGAUCUCCUGAUACAGCUAUCAGUAACGAGAUUACUAGAUAGAAAAAUCUCGAUUCCUCCAUCUCUCGAUUACAAUAUUUUUCAUAAUCAACAUUUUAAUCAAGUAGAACAAUAAUUCUUACAUUUGUGAUCUAAUAUAAAGAAAAAAUAAAACCGUAAGAAUGAAUGUACCCUCUUCAAGCUUGUGUAAGCAUGCUGGGGAAUUUCUCCAUUAUUCAUCAGGUCUUCUAUUGUCCAAUUCCUUACGAAGUAAGCUCUCACAGCAUUCAUGGCCUGGAGUUUCAUAUCUGAGAACUUCAUGUUUUUUGCUUCAGAGGGAAAAAGGAAUCGGAAAUUUGAUGAAGAAGAAUGAAGAACGUGAGUUGUGUUUAUAGUUCGUUAUACACAGAAGAGUUUGUUACCAAAGACUGCCCCUCGCCGUUACUCUGUUUGGGAAUAUUUACGGCUCUACCUUUCAGUUAUUGGCUGAGUUUUGCAUCUUUUUUCUUUCUUUUUUCUUUUUUUUUUUUAAAGUUUUUAUUGGAUAAACGAGUACAAAUGUCGUGCAGAGAAUCGAUGGUGUAGAUUUUACCUAUUUUAAAUGUUUCCUCUCGGAUGACAGUGUCUUCUCUUCCACAAUUCCUAUUGAAGUACGAUUUCACAGUAUUCAUAGCUAGGAGUUUCAGUUCUGAGAACUUCAUCAUUCUUCUCUAUUUUUUUCAGAGAGAAAAUGGGAAUGGGAACAAUUGUACUUUCUUAUCAAAAAAAGUCUUUAACUACACCUCAAAAAUCACAAACAACGAAAACAUCACACGUUAAUCAUAAUUCAUAUCAGUUGCAAUGAAGAUUUCUUCUAAUCUAUUGGUAUCAUGCGUUACGCCCUUGGGUGCCGUUGGAAUCAAGAGGGUGAGAAGAUCUUUGCUUGAAGCGCUAGUUUUUGGUGAAAUAUGUUGAAAAAAUGUUUUUUCUCUUUCUUUAUUUAUCAGCAAUAAUAAUAGAUGUUAAGUUCGAAUUCUAUCAUCAUGCUUUUCGACAUGUGAAUAUACCCAUAAUGAAUUCCAGUUCAUUGUAAAGAAAGCCGACAUGUAUUUUUGUUGUGUUUGACAAUGGAGAAAAUAAUUUCCAAGAAAAUGAAAUAUAUAACAAAUCAUUCGUGUAUAGCUAAAAUUUUGUGAAAAAAUUGGGAACGCUAGAAUAUACUAUUACUAUUUGGUCAAGGAAUAUAACAUUCAAAGCACUUGGCUUCAGACUGACGAAUUUCAAAUUCAAUCAGCAAAACGUAGCCACAAAGGAAUUCAUCAUUUACAGUUCUCCCCAUCUGCAUUCUACUCUCUAUUUAUUCUACAGUUCUAAGUGUAUCAGCAUUAAUUCUGUGAUUCUGUCUGUGUUGCUCAAUUUAUGCACCCAGGCAUAGUCUUGCAGCAUGGACCACUAUACCUGGUAAACGGAAGAAGACGGUGAGUGUGCGAUUGACAGAGUUAAUUUCUCCAAAGUGAGCAUCAUACAAUAUCUCUUGGCUAUAUACCACAACGUAUCCCAUGAACAAUGCAAACACAAUGCAUACCUAUCACACAAGCAGUACUCAUCAUUAAGUCAGUCAUAUUAUUCAUUCAUUAGACAGAAGUAAUGAUUUAUAGGAUGUGUGUGAGCACAUUGUAUGCAUACAACUGCUUACCUUUAACAUCCAAUGAGCUGUCUGGCUGUCAAUGAAUUCUGAUUUAGUAGCAACAAAGGUGGAGAACAUUACAGCCCAAGAAUAGAACAGGCAGGCCAGAUAGAUUUCACUCCUUUCCCUCGCUAAUAAGGAUUCAGACCAGAUAGCUCCAAUGCCAAGUGUUGGAGGUGCCAAAAGGCUGACAACAAGGCUGUAGAGCAAAAGCAAGGAAUGCUUUCUGAAGUUAGAUAUUUUUCAAAUUAUCAAAAUAUUCUUCAAAUAAGGAACACAGAACAACAAGAGAUAAUCAACUACACAUACAGAAGGAGAAAGAGAUAAUCAACUACACAUACAGAAGGAGCAAAGUAACUACUAUUGAAUUCAUUAAGAUGUAAUAUAAUGUAGAAAGUGAAAGAGCAACCAAAUGUCUUUGUCAUAUUAGAAAUGACUUCAGGAAAUCAGUGGGAAAUAAUUUCGUCAUGUUUCUUGAUUUCACUCAUCUAUGCGCCUCACUUGGUGCAAAUGAAGAACCCCUUCACAAUUUGGUCAUCAUAUUGCUGAAUUUCUGUGUGCUAUAACAUAUACUGCUAGCUAAGAAUGCACAUAAUGGUGAGAUAGAAUUUUCUAACUGUAACUCCAGUAAAAUCCCCUAAAAUCAUGAAAAGAUAUAAGUAAUUUCAGGGUAUUGGAAUCUGAAGUACAAGUCAUCAGUUUACAAGUCCAAAAACAAUAGCUUACAACCUAACAACAGACCAGCAUCCCAACACCAAUGCUCAUAUUGCUCAAUAUUUCCCAUUCAUAUGCUAAGCAUAAUGCCAAUUCUGAACUGUAAAGACCUAGGUGAUUGAUCAUGCCAUUAAUGCACAAAUUUUCAGACAUUCCAGGUUCUCCAAAACCUAUGUGAUCCUAGUAGCCACUUUUAGCUAACUGUGUGCAAGAAUGAUAAAAAAUGUCAAAUUCAUCCACUCCAAUGCCAUUGUUCUCACAAGCCUUAUGAAAGAAUUUUCACAGAGUAGGUAGUCAUUCUAAUAAAAGAUGAAAAACAAUAGUUUCUACAAGGAUACUAAUUUUCCAGUUAGGAUUUUGAGUAGAUCCAAUGAUUAUUAAGGAUAAAGUAAUCACAAGUAUAAAUACCAAUCAGCAUCAAGCCUUUCUCUGUACACAAUUGAAGACUACAAAAAUCAGAUUUCUGAUAAUAUGAUAUGACAAGAAAGCAGUAAAAGCAACCAUAUAGAACAUCAGUAACAGAAAUAUCUGCCAUCUUUCUAGUCUUACUCUUGAUCUAUUUCAAAGAAAUAUUUGGUAAAAAUGCCAAUAGAAGCACCAUUGGAAAAGGCAGCAAUCAUCAAGAGUAAGACCCUCGUCCUCUGCAUAGACAGAAGAUUUACAAUAUAAGAAGCGACCUCAAUAAUAAAUCAACUUGGAAGAAAAUUUACAAGUCACAGUUCACGUACCACUCUCAAUGGUGAUAUCAAGUAAAGACAGAGUAAACUUGCUACAGAAGAAAGGACUGUGAACUGCCCUCCCGCUUCCCAUAUCCAGUGCGAGAAGGAUCCAGAAGUAAAGCUCCACAUGGCAAAGAAGAGAGUAAGAUAUACCUAUAUUUCAGCAAACUAAUCAAUUACAGGAAAAAGGGGAAUCCAAUACUUGGAAGCAGAAGUGAAAAUGCAUCUUCUCCAGCUAACUAGGUUUUGCAAAGAAAGAAAAGAUCAAACACAAGAUGCUGAAACCAGAAAUUGCAUGAAACAAUUAAUCCCUCCAUCCAAAAUUAUAUGAAACGAAUUCAUUUUGGGAAGCUUGAAUGCAAUUUCAUCCAAACUAUUCAAAAACAACUUUGAAGACUAAAUAGGGAGCAAGGUUUUAAUACCAAACUUUACUCAAAAUGCUAAAGAAAGUUACAAGUUAUGCCAAUCGUUUUGUGUGAUUAUCACUAAAAAAUACGGUAAUACAUGUAAAAUAUUCAGAAAAAUCAAAAUUCAUCAUGAAUCUUGAAUAAUUAAGUAAAGCAAGUACAAAAGAUGAGAAAGAAUUACGGCAAUACAUGUAAACUAUUCAGAAAAAUCAAAAUUCAUUAUGAAUCGAUUCCAAGUAGAUCUCCAAAUACAGCUAUCAGUAACGAGAUUACAAGAUAGAAAAAUCUCGAUUCCUCCAUCUCUCGAUUACUAUACUUUUCAUGACCAACAUUUUAAUCAAGUAGAACAAUAUUUCUUACAUUUGUGAUCAUAUAUAAAGAAUAAAUGAAACCGUAAGAAUGAAUGUACCCUCUUCAAGCUUGAGUAAUCGUGCUGGGUCAUUUCUCCAUUAUUCAUCAGGUCUUCUAUUGUCCAAUUCCUUACGAAGUAAGCUCUCACAGCAUUCAUGGCCUGGAGUUUCAUAUCUGAAAACUUCAUGUUUUUUGCUUCAGAGGGAAAACGGAAUCGGAAAUUCGAUGAAGAAGAAUGAAGAACGUGAGUUGUGUUUAUAGUUCGUUAUACACAGAAGAAUUUGUUACCAAAGACUGCCCCUCGCUGUUCCUCGGUUUGGGAAUAUUGCAAGGGUAAUUUCGUCACAGAAGAAAAAGAGAAGAAUCUCCUGCCUCAGCCGUUGGCGGGAACGGGGAGAGGUCUGGAAAUAUAUUUUUUUAGGUAAUUUCUCUUUUCCUUUCCUCUUUUUAUUUUGUUACUCGUUCUAGAACACGUGCGUUGUGCGUGUAUUUCAAUUUAAUAGUAUAAAUAUUUUAAAAAUUAAAGUAUUUGAAUUAAAAAAAAAUUAGAUGUCAUAUGGACAUAUUAAAAAAAACUACCUUUUAUUUUUAGAACUAUUUUUCUGUACAUUAAUUUUUAUUUUAUAAGGUGCAUAAUAGAUCAUGUUCUUGUUGUUGGUUCUCAUAUUUGACUUCUCAAUUGAAUGUGUACAUAAGUCAAAGAUAGUUAUUUAACUUUCCAUUUUUUUCAUUGAUAAACUAAAAUUAAAUAUAAAAAUAUAUUCAAUAUAUGAAUUUAUAUAUAUAAUUACAUGUUUAACUUACACCCAACAAAUAUAUUGUUCAUAUCCUUGUAAAUUAUUUUCAAUUUAUACAAUAAGACAUGAUUCGUUUCAAUGCCAAUAACAAUGUGGUGUUAGGGGUGGUAUAAGAAUCUGAAAAGUUAUUGCGCAAAAAGUUAAUAUAAAGAAAGAUGAAAGAUAGAAAUAACUAAAAUAAUUCAUAAUGUUGUAACUAAAGAAUAUAAUAAAAGGGUGUGAAUGACAUUUGCAAUAAUCUAUAUCAUAUCAUAUCAUCAUCAUCAUCAUAUUACUAAAAGUGGGAACAAAAAAGUUAAAAGUUGAAAUAUCAUUUUCCCCCUAUACUAAUUUAAAAUAUUAUAAAUAUUUAGUUAAUUACAUGUUUGAAUCAAUUACUACAUUGAGUAAAUGGAGAGUUCAUUGCGUAUAUUUAAUAUUCUUAAAGUUAUUCUCUUUUAUCUAUUUUGGCCCUUUGAAACCUUCAAAUAUUUAAUUUAAAACUUUAAGAUGUCUUUUGGUGUUCCUCUAUUUUUAUCUAUAUAAAUUCAUCUUUUUUGUUUCAUGAAACUCGCAUCCAAAAUUAUCCUUUUCAUUUUAUCAUUAAAGUAGUGAAGCCAUCAACAUCUAAAGUAUAUGAUAUAUCUACCUUAGUUUAAAUAUAUAUCACUUUAAUUUACGAAAAUAAAGUGAUUUUUCUAUUUGAUUCAUGCUUUAGUUUGACUCGAUAGAGAAGACUUUUGAAUUUUGAUUGGAUAUAAGAGAAGGUGUCGACAAAAACUUGGAAAAUUAUGUACCGAUUUUGUAUUUCUUUUGUCAUUUAUAUAAUGUUAUGAUUAAUGUCUUAUGAAGGAUGUGUAUGUUAUUUUUUUUCUUCUAUGUUUAUUUUUUUUAUAUUUCUCUAUUAGUCUUCUUUUAUUUAAUUUUCUAUAAAAAAAAAUUAUUAUUAUAACAUUUAUUUGAGAUUGUUGCAUUUUAGUACUCAUUACACUCAUGUUUUCAUUAAAUUUUAUCAUCCUAACGAAUUUAUAAUAUAUUGCAUGAGACACACGUGCGUUUCACGUGUCCAGAAACUAGUAUCUAUAUAAAGUUGAAUAUAGAAAAUGUGAUGUGGCACCUCUCUCUAUGGCUAGCAUUCCUUUUUUUAUUUAUCUUAUUUAUAUUUUAGUAAGAACUUAAAUUUUUUAACAAUAUAUGUUAAGAUCUAUAUGCAUUCAAUUACUCAAUGGAAGAAGAAAGGCAAGAGUACUAACUGUAUACGUUGAGAUUAAUAUGCAUUAAAUUACUAAAUGGAAGAUGAAAGGUUUUUACUGUUUAUUCUAUCAUAUAAAUGAAAGGGUCAGGGAAUAUGUAACGAAGUGCUCCUUCAAUUUGCUUUGCCAAGGAAUAUAAUAUUCAAAUUAAAGCACUUGGCUUCAAUCUAACGAAUUUCAAAUUCAAUCAGUAAAAUGUAGGGACAAAGGAAAACUUUGCAUCAUUUACAGUUCCUCAUCUGAAUUCUACUCUCUAUUUAUUCUACAGUUCCAAGUGUAUCAGCAUUAAUUCUCUGAUUCUGUCUGAGUUGCUCAAUUUAUGCACUCAGGCAUAGUCUUGCAGCAUGGACCACUAUACCCGGUAAACGCAAUAUGAUAGAGAGUGUGCGAUUGACAAAGUUAAUUUCUCCGAAAUAAGCAUCAUACAAUAUCUCUUGGCUAUACACCACAAUGUACCCCAUGAACAAUGCAAAAACAACGCAUACCUAUCACAAAAGGCAGUACUCAUCAUCAAGUCUGUCAUAUUACUCAUUCAAUAGACAGAAAUAAUGAUUUAUCACAAAAGGCAGUACUCAUUAUAUGCAUACAACUGCUUACCUUUACCAUCCAAUGAGCUCCGUGGCUGUCAAUGAAUUUUGAAUUAGUAGCAGCAAAGGUGGAGAACAUUAGACCCUAAAAAUAAAUCAGGCAGCUCAAGUAGAUUUCACUCCUUUCCCUCGUAAACAAGGAUCCAAGCCAGAUAACUCCAAUGCCAAGUGUUAGAGGUACCAAAAGGCUGUAGAGCAAGCAAGGAAUGCUUUCUGAAGUUAGAUAUUUUUCAAAUUAUCAAAAUAUUCUUCAAAUAAGGAACACAGAACAACAAAAGAUAAUCAACUAUACAUACAGAAGGAGCAAAGUAACUGCUAUUGAAUUUAUUAAGAUGCAAUAUAAUGUAAGAACUGAAAGAGCAAGCAAAUGUCUUUGUUAUAUUAGAAAUGACUUUACGAAAUCAGUGUAAAAUUAUUUAAGCGCACUCCUAAUUUCGUCAUGUUUCUUCGUGUAAAAUUAUUUAAGUGCACUCUUCAUAAUUUCGUCAUACUUGAUGCCAAUGCAGACUCCUUCACAAUUUGGUCAUCAUAUUGCUAAAUUUCUAUGUGCUACAACAAAUACUGCUAGCUAAGAAUGCACAUAAUGGUGAGAUAGAAUUUUCUAACUGUAACAUCCCCUAAACCCAUGGAAGAUAUAAGUAAUUUCAGGGUAUUGGAAUCUGAAGUACAAGUCAUCAGUUUACAAGUACAAAAACUAUAGCUUACAACCUAACAACAGACCAACAUCCCAACACCCAAUGCUCAAUGAUAAGCAUAAUGCCAAUUCUUAACUGUGAAGAACUAGGUGAUCGAUCAUUCCAUUAAUGCACAAGUUUUCAGACAUUCCAGGUUCUCCAAAACCUAUGUGAUCAUAGUAGCCACUUUUAGCUAACGGCAUGCAGAAUGAUACAAAAUGUCAAAUUCAUCCACUCCAAUGCCAAUGUUCUCACAAGUCAUUCAAAUGAAAGAUGAAAAACAAUAGUUUCUACAACGAUACCAAUAGUAGAUCUAAUGAUUAUUAAGGAUAAAUUAAUCACAAGUAUAAAUACCAAUCAGCAAAAAGCCUUUCUCUGCACACAAUACAAAAAUCAGGUUCCUGAUAAUAUGAUAUGACAAGAAAGCAGUAAAAGCAACCAUAUAAAACUUCAACAGAAGAUAUCUGAACAAAGUUUAUCAUCUUUUGAGUCUUACAUCUGAUUCAUUCCGAAGAGAUAUUUGAUAAAAAGGCCAAAAGAAGCACCCAAGUUACAGGCUGCAAACAUCAAGAGUGAGACCCUCGUCCUCAGCAUAGACAGAAGAUUUACGAUAUAAGAAGCGACUUCAACAAUAAAUCAACAACUUGGAAGAAAAUCUAUAAACGCAGAUCACGUACCACUCUCAAUGGUGAACUAAAGUAAAGACCGAGUAAACUUGCUACAGAAUAAAGGACUGUGAAUCGCCCUCCCCCUUCCCAGAUCAAGUGCAAGAUGGAUCCAAAAGUAAAGCUCCCCAUGGCAAAGAAGAGAGUAAAAUAUACCUUAUUCAAAAACAGCUUUCAAGACUGAAUAGGGAGCAAGGUUUCAAUACUAAAUUUUUACUCAAAAUGCUAAAGAAAAGUUGCAUGUAAUGCCAAUCGUUUUGUCUGAUUAUCACUAACAGCAUAAGCAAGUACAAAAGAAGAGAAAAAAUUAUGGUAAUACAUGUAAAAUAUUCAGAACAAUCGAAAUUCAUCAUGAAUCCUGAAGAAUUAAGUAAAGCAAGUACAGUAGAUGAGAAAAAUUAUGGUAAUACAUGUAAACUAUACAGAAAAAUCAAAAUUCAUCAUGAAUCGAUUCUAGUAGAUCUCCUGAUUACAAAUAGAAAAAUCUCGAUUCCUCAAUCUCUCGGUUACAAUAUUUUUCAUGAUCCACAUUUUAAUCAGAACAAUAAUACUUACACUUGUGAUCAAAUAUAAAGAAAAAAUGAAACCGUAAGAACGACUGUACCCUCUUCAAGCUUGUGUAAGCAUGCUGGGGAAUUUCUCCAUUAUUCAUCAGGUCUUGUAUUGUCCAAUUCCUUACGAAGUAAGCUCUCACAGCAUUCAUGGCCUGGAGAUUCAUAUCUGAGAACUUCAUGUUUUUUUGCUUCAGAGGGAAAAAGGAAUCGGAAAUUUGAUGAAGAAGAAUGAAGAACGUGAGUUGUGUUUGUAGUUCGUUAUACACAGAAGAGUUUGUUACCAAAGACUGCCCCUCGCCGUUACUCUGUUUGGGAAUAUUUACGGCUCUACCUUUCAGUUAUUGGCUGAGUUUGAGGGAUGUUGCAGGGGUAAUUUCGUCCCAAAAGAAAAGGAGAAGAAUCCCCUGGGCUCAGUCGUUGGCGGGAAAGGGGAGAGGUCUGGGAAUAUAAUUUUUUUAGGGAAUUUCUGUUUCCUUUUCCCCUUUUUUAUUGUUAUUAGUUUCUGGGAAGUGCCCUACAUGCUUGUCCUCUAAUCAUUAUUCUACAAUAAAAAUUAUUGAUUUUUAUCAUUUAAAUUUUUUUAAUUAAAAAAACUAUGACAAAUUGACAAUGGGAUUGUGUAUUUUCAAUCUAUCAAAAAGUAUGUAAAGUUAAGCAAAAUAAUAUAAUCUCCAAUAAUAUGUGAAUGGACUUGUAAAUCACUAGGCUCAAACUCAACAAUAGUAUCUGCAUAGACAUGCAGGUAAGGAGUGAUCUAUAUGUACAUAUAACACAGUAAGAUUCGUGAUCCGCUACAAUAAUACCGUGGAACAAGUGUUAGAACAUACAUCUAUACAACAAACACAAAAUCAUAUGCACAAAAAUAUAUUUCGUAAUAUAAUAAUCAAUAAGUCCAAACAAUUUUUCAGAAAGAACACUACAGUAAGUAAAAAGAGGACUUGAUGCCAUGCCAAUUACCUGAUGUUUAUUUUUUUCAGAGAGAAAAUUGAAAUGGGAACAAUUGUACUUCUUAUCAAAAAGAGUCUUUAACUACUCCUCAAAAAUCUCAAACAACGAAAAUAUCACAAGUUAAUAAUAAUUUAUAUCAAUUGCGAUUAGAGAUAGCCAAUUUUAAAAUAUGGAAAAAUUACUUGGAUGGUUGCCUUCUAAAAAGAGAUUUCGAAUUUUAGCAAUACUUUUUAUUUAUUACCAUUUUUAGCAAUACAUAAUAAUACUAUGUUAAAUCUGCAAUAUGUAUUAAAAGUGAAUUAUGUAUGCAAUAUAUAUGUAUUAUAAUUGUUUUUUUAAAUAUAUUAUGCGUUUUUUUUGUAAGAAGUUGAUAUAUUGUAUUAUAAAUGUAUUAAAAUGUGUGAUAAAUGUAUUAUCCAUCAAUAAAACUUGUAUUAUAUGUGAAUAAAUAACUUGUUCUUUGUAAUAUGUAUUAAAAAUAUAUUAAAAGUGAUUAAGUGAAAAAAAUUGUUAUUGCUAUGAAUGGUAAAUAUUUUUUAUUAUAGUAUAUUUACAUAAGUUUCCCUUUAAAUAAAUUGGGUACCCAACUCAUUUAAAAUGGAUAAAAAAAAAAUGAGUCAAAUUCAUAUUACCCGUUUAAAAGUGGAUAGUUAAAUGGGUAAAAGAGACCCAUUUAUAAAAGAAACAAAAUUGGCAUUAAUAUUUUUCUUAAGGUGUAUGUGAUCCUGGUAGGGAUGGGUUGGAUAAAGGGAAAAAUUGAUUUUUAGAAAAGGGGGGGAGGGGGUCGAAGUAGUAAAAAAUAAAGUUAUUUAAAAAAAAAACAAAUAAAAAGUUAAUUUAUUUUUUGACGCAUUGGUGUUUGGGGUUGGGGUGGGGGGUGAAGAGUGGGUAAAAGAUUUUGCUUUUGAAACUUUUAAGAUAAUCCCUAUAAUAAUAUGGGUAAAUAUGGAUACUCAUAUUAUCCAUUGCGUAAUUCAUUUUUACCCAUUUAAAAUAUGAGUUGAGUAUUUUGCCAUUUUUAUUUAACUCAUUUUCGAUCAAUUCAUAUUUGAUUCGACCCACUGAUCAUUUGCCACUCCUAAUUGCGAUAACGACAGGGCCGGCUCUAUGCUUUGGGAAACAAGGCUUUUGCCUUAGGCCCCCAAAUUUCUAUCAAGAAUAAAUUAUGUGUUAAAAAAUCUAUAGAAAAUAUUGAUUAUUUAUGAUAAAAAGUAUAAUUUUACCCACUUUAACAUCUUUUAUACUUUGUUAAAAAUAAGAAUUAAUAGUGAAAAGUGUUGAACAAAGUGAAUUACAAAUUCUUUUUUAUUUCUUUUUAAAUUUUAGUUUCAAGCAUUACUACAAGCAUACUAAAAUGGGGUAUACCAAGUCAUCAACUUGUUGCGUCAAAUUUUAUGGUUCUAACUCUUAUCUUUAAUUAAUAUUUGUCAACUUAUUACUUGUAUAAUUAUGUUAAAAAUUCAUAUAAUAAUUGCGAAAGGAUGUUUUUCAAUGUUGAGUUGAUAAAAUCUUACCUAAAACUAAUAACUGAAAAAAUAAUAUUAAAAUACUAAUAAUUUUCAUCUAAAUAGUGUAAGCAAAAUAAAUUUUUGAAUUAAAUAUGUAUAUGGAGUCUGUUUAUAUUUUAGGCCCUGAAUUGAAAUUUCGCUUUAGGCCCCCAAUCACGUUGAGCCGCCCCUGGAUAACGAUUACCUCUAAUCUAUUGGUUUCGAUCCACUCAUAUUUGAAAGUUUCAUGUGCUGCUCCCUUGGGUGCGGUUGAAAUCGAGGGCGUGAAAAGAUCUUCGCUUGAAGCGCUAAUUUUUGGUGAAAUUUGUUGAACAAGUGUUUUUUCUCUAACUUUAUUAGCAAUAAUAAUAUAUGUAAGUUCUAAUUUGAUUGUUGUACUUUUCAACUCGAAUAUACCCAUAAUGAAUUUCAGUUCAUUGUAAAGAAAGUCGACAUGUAUUUUGGUUGUGUUUGACAAUGGAGAAAAUAUUUUCCCAGAAAAUGAAAUAGAUAACAAAUCAUUCGUGUAUUUGCUAAAAAUACGUUUUCCUAUUAGAACAAUUAAAAUGUUUUAAAAGGAGUAUUUGGUUAAGAAGAAGUGCUUAUCACCAACAGAAUGCAAAAUAGACCAACUGAAAAAAAUUGAAAAGGGAAUUUCGAAACCUGAUAUCAAGAGAAAAGCUAACCGAUUUGUAGCUAAAAUUUUGUGAAAAAAUUGGGAACGCUAGAAUAUACAAUUACUAUUUGCCAAGGAAUAUAACAUUCAAAGCACUUACGAAUUUCAAAUUCAAUCAGUAAAAUGUAGCCACAAAGGAAUAUUUUUCAUGAUUUACAGUUCCCCAUCUGCAUUGUACUCUCUAUUUAUUAUACAGUUCCAAGUGUAUCAGCAUUAAUUCUGUGAUUCUGUCUGUGUUGCUCAAUUUAUGCACCCAGGCAUAGUCUUGCAGCAUGGACCACUAUACCCGGUAAACGGAAGAAGACGGUGAGUGUGCGAUUGACAAAGUCAAUUUCUCCAAAGUGAGCAUCAUACAAUAUCUCUUGGCUAUAUACCACAACGUAUCCCAUGAACAAUGCAAACACAAUGCAUACCUAUCACACAAGCAGUGCUCAUCAUUAAGUCAGUCAUAUUAUUCAUUCAUUAGACAGAAGUAAUGAUUUAUAGGAUGUGUGUGAGCAGAUUAUAUGCAUACAACUGCUUACCUUUAACAUCCGAUGAGCUGUAUGGCUGUCAAUGUAAUCUGAAUUACUAGCAUUAAAGGUGGAGAAAAAUAGAAGAGAAGAAUAGAACAGGCUGCCCAUGUAGAUUGCACUCCUUUCCCUCGUAAAUGUGGAUCCAAACCAGAUAAUUCCAAUGCCAAGUGUUGGAGGUGCCAAAAGGCGGCAAACAAGCCUGUAGAGCAAGCAAGGAAUGCUUUCUGAAGUUAGAUAUUUUUCAAAUUAUCAAAAUAUUCCUCAAAGAAGGAACACAGAACAACAAGAGAUGAUCAACUACACAUACAGAAGGAGCAAAGUAACUGCUAUUGAAUUCAUUAAUAUGUAAUAUAAUGUAGAAAUUCAAAGAGCAAGCAAAUGUCUUUGUCAUAUUAGAAAUGACUUCAGGAAAUCAGUGGAAAAUUAUUUAAGUGCACUCUUCAUAAUUUCGUCAUGUUUCUUAGUUUCACUCAUUUAUGAGCACUCUUCAGAACUCCUUCACAUGUACUGCUAGCUAAGAAUGCACAUAAUGGUAACAUCCCCUAAACCCAUGGAAGAUAUAAGUAAUUACAGGGUAUUGGAAUCUGAAGUACAAGUCAUCAGUUUACAAAUCCAAAAACAGUAGCUUACAACCUAACAACAGACCAACAUCCCAACACCCAUAUUGCUCAAUAUUUCUCAUUCAUAUGCCAAGUAUAAUCAAAUUCCAGGUUCUCCAAAACAAAAUGUCAAAUUCAUCUACUCCAAUGCCAUUGUUCUCACAAGUCCUUAUGAAAGAAUUUCCAGAGUAGGUAGUCAUUCUAAUUAAAGAUGAAAGACAAUAGUUUCUACAAGGAUACCAUUUUUUCCAGUAAGGAUUUUGAGUAGAUCUAAUUAUUAAGGAUAAAGUAAUCACUAGUAUAUAUACCAAUCAGCAUCAAGCCUUUCUUUGUACACAAUUAAAGACUACAAAAAUCAGGUUUCUGAUAAUAUGAUAUGACAAGAAAGCAGUAAAAAGCAACCAUAUAGAACAUCAACAACAGAAAUAUCUGCCAUCUUUCUAGUCUUACUCUUGAUCUAUUUCAAAGAAAUAUUUGGCAAAUAUGCCAAUAGAAGCACCGAUGGAAAAGGCAGCAAUCAGCAAGAGUAAGACCCUCGUCCUCUGCAUAGACAGAAGAUUUACGAUAUAAGAAGCGACCUCAAUAAUAAAUCAACAACUUGGAAGAAAAUUUACAAGACACAGAUCACGUACCACUCUCAAUGGUGAUAUAAAGUAAAGACAGAGUAAACUUGCUACAGAAGAAAGGAUUGUGAACCGCCCUCCCGCUUCCCAUAUCCAGUGCGAGAAGGAUCCAGAAGUAAAGCUCCACAUGGCAAAGAAGAGAGUAAGAUAUACCUAUAUUUCAGCAAACUAAUCAAUUACAGGAAAUAAGGGGAAUCCAAUACUUGGAAGCAGAAGUGAAAAUGCAUCUUCUCCAGCUAACUAGGUUUUGUAAAAAAAGAAAAGAUCAAACACAAGAUGCUGAAACCAGAAAUUGCAUGAAACAAAUUAAUCCCUCUGUCCAAAAUUAUAUGAAACGAAUUUAUUUUGGGAAGCUUGAAUGCAAUUUCAUCUAAACUAUUCAAAAACAACUUUCAAGACUGUAAUACCAAACUUUACUCAAAAUCCUAGAGGAAGUUACAAAAGAAAAUACUCAAGAUUAAUUGUAUGCCAAUCGUUUUGUGUGAUUAUCACUAACAGCAUAAGCAAGUACAAAAGAAGAGAAAAAAUUACGGUAAUACAUGUAAAAUAUUCAGAAAAAUCGAAAUUCAUCAUGAAUCCUGAAGAAUUAAGUAAAGCAAGUACAAAAGAUGAGAAAGAAUUACGGUAAUACCAUGUAAGCUAUUCAGAAAAAUCAAAAUUCAUUAUGAAUCGAUUCCAAGUAGAUCUCCAAAUACAGCUAUCAGUAACGAGAUUACAAGAUAGAAAUCUCUCGAUUACAAUAUUUUUCAUAAUCAACAUUUUAAUGAAACAGUAAGAAUGAAUGUACCCUCUUCAAGCUUGCAUAAGCGUGCUGAGUCAUUUCUCCAGUAUUCAUCAGGUCUUCUCUUGUCCAAUUCCUUACGAAGUAAACUCUCACAGCAUUCAUGGCCUGGAGUUUCAUAUCUGAGAACUUCAUGUUUUUUUGCUUCAGAGGGAAAACGAAAUCGGAAAUUUGAUGAAGAAGAAUGAGGAACGUGAACUGUAUUUAUAGUUCGUUAUACACACAAGAGUUUGUUACCAAAGACUGCCCCUCGCCGUUAUUCUGUUUGCGAAUAUUUUCGGCUCUCCCUUUCAGUUAUUGGCUGAGUUUUGGGGAUAUCGCAGGGGUAAUUUCGUCACAAAAGAAAAGGAGAAGAAUCUUCUGAGUUCUGUGCUCAGUUGUAGGCGGGAAAGGGGAGAGGUCUGGGAAUAUAAAUUUUUUAGGGAAUUUUUGUUUCCUUUUCCCUUUUUUAUUGUUAUAAAAUUAAUCUCACUGUUUACUCAAAAAAAUUGUUUGCUGUUUAUUUAUAAAACGCUAAAUUUAUACGGUACUUUCUCCAUUCAUAUUUGCAUGUCAUCCUUACUAUAAAUAUAUGUAUAUAUAUAAUGAGUUUUUUUUACUUCUCAUAACAUCUCAUAAUAAAUUGAGUCUUUUCUACUACUCUUAACAUCUCAUUAUAAAUAAGUUUUUUUUACUACUAUUUCAUUUGGUUAAAGUAUUCACAAUUUCUCUUCUUUUCUACCAUCUUAAAUUUUAGGUACUUACCAUUGCUUAUCCCACCCCAUCCUCUUUUUUUUUUGCUUCCUUAAUAUUCAUAUGUUUAAAUUGAAACAAGUUUCUAUGACUUCUUCUAUUAUUUUGGAAUAGAUUGACAUGUUUACAUUAGCUUGGAUAGGAUACAAUCAAUGUGGAAUGUCACUUGGUUUCAUGCAUUACGAUUUACACCCUUGGGUGCCAUUGGAAUCGAGGGCGUGAGAAGGUCUUUGCUUGAAGCGCUAGUUUUUGGUGAAUUAUGUUGAAACUGUGUUUUUUUCUCUUUAUUUAUAUAUUAGUACUAUGUUCAAAUUCUAUUGUUUUCUUUGCUUGAAGCGCUAGUUUUUGGUGAAUAUAAGGAUAUUGAAUUCCAGUUCAUUUUCAAGAAAGUCGACAUGUAGAAUAUACAAUUAUUUGCUAAGGAAUAUAUACAAAGCACUUUUCAUCAGUGAUCAGACUAACGAAUUUCAAAUUCAAUCAGUAAAGUGUAGCGACAAAGAAAUACAUUUCAUGAUUUACAGUUCACCAUCUGCAUUCUACUCGCUAUUUAUUCUAUAGUUCCAAGUACAUCUGAGUUACUCAAUUUCUGCACCUCAGUAUAGUCUUGCGGCAUGGACCACUAUAGCCGGUAAAUGGAAGAAGACAGUGAGUGUGCGAUCGACAAAGUUAAUUUCUCCAAAGCCAGCAUCAUACAGCAUCUCUUGGCUAUAUACCACCAAGUACCCCAAGAACAAUGCUUGCACAGUGGUUACCUACCAGAAACAGUAUUUAUCAGGUCAGUCAUAUUAUUCAUUCAUUAGACAGAAGUAGUGAUUUAUAAACAUGAGAACUGUGUUAUAGUAUGAGUGUGGUCACAUCGUGCGCAUACAACUGCUUACCUCUAACACCCAAUGAUUUUCUUUGCUUGAAGCGCUAGUUUUUGGUGAAUUAUGUUGAAACUGUGUUUUUUUCUCUUUAUUUAUAUAUUAGUACUAUGUUCAAAUUCUAUUGUUUUCUUUGCUUGAAGCGCUAGUUUUUGGUGAAUUAUGUUGAAACUGUGUUUUUUUCUCUUUAUUUAUAUAUUAGUACUAUGUUCAAAUUCUAUUGUUUUCUUUGCUUGAAGCGCUAGUUUUUGGUGAAUUAUGUUGAAACUGUGUUUUUUUCUCUUUAUUUAUAUAUUAGUACUAUGUUCAAAUUCUAUUGUUUUCUUUGCUUGAAGCGCUAGUUUUUGGUGAAUUAUGUUGAAACUGUGUUUUUUUCUCUUUAUUUAUAUAUUAGUACUAUGUUCAAAUUCUAUUGUUUUCUUUGCUUGAAGCGCUAGUUUUUGGUGAAUAUAAGGAUAUUGAAUUCCAGUUCAUUUUCAAGAAAGUCGACAUGUAGAAUAUACAAUUAUUUGCUAAGGAAUAUAUACAAAGCACUUUUCAUCAGUGAUCAGACUAACGAAUUUCAAAUUCAAUCAGUAAAGUGUAGCGACAAAGAAAUACAUUUCAUGAUUUACAGUUCACCAUCUGCAUUCUACUCGCUAUUUAUUCUAUAGUUCCAAGUACAUCUGAGUUACUCAAUUUCUGCACCUCAGUAUAGUCUUGCGGCAUGGACCACUAUAGCCGGUAAAUGGAAGAAGACAGUGAGUGUGCGAUCGACAAAGUUAAUUUCUCCAAAGCCAGCAUCAUACAGCAUCUCUUGGCUAUAUACCACCAAGUACCCCAAGAACAAUGCUUGCACAGUGGUUACCUACCAGAAACAGUAUUUAUCAGGUCAGUCAUAUUAUUCAUUCAUUAGACAGAAGUAGUGAUUUAUAAACAUGAGAACUGUGUUAUAGUAUGAGUGUGGUCACAUCGUGCGCAUACAACUGCUUACCUCUAACACCCAAUGAGUGUUGGGAAAACACGGACAAGCACAAAAAUAUAUAUGGUAAAAGUAAUGGAAAUAAAAUGGGAAAAUAAUGACACCAAGAAUUUUACGUGGAAACCCUUCUAAAUAAGGGAAAAACCACGGGCCAAGAGGAGCAACUGAUAUCACUAUAGUAAGGAAUUUUACACUGUGUAGUCACGAAUACAAUACUCAAAGUGACUACAACACACUCAAAAAGAAUAACACUCUUUUGAUUUCCACCUUACUAAAAUAUCGCUCACACUCUAUUUUUCUUCACAGACUAUUUUCUUAUAUAGUCUAUGGAAACCUCACAGCUCUCUAAAUAUUUUACUCUCUCUGUGAAUUGGUGUGUCUAGGAAUGAGCAAAGGGCUCUCUAUUUAUAGAAGAAAUUUGCAACUGCAAAUUUCAACCCUAUACAUAGUAUGUCAAAGUUGUGCCACCGAAAGCAUUUUUAAUUGCUGUGUUUUUCAACAAUUGCUGCUAUUGCAAUUUGCCAACAAUUGACAAUUGCAUGCAGCAAUUGUUGACACCAAAAAAAGGGAUAGUGGGACUGGACCCCACAAUGAGCUGUGUGGCUGUCAAGGACAUCUAAAGCAUUCAACAUAAAGCUGGAGUACAUUAGAGCAUAAGAAUGAACCAGGCAAGCCAUGUAGAUUUCUCUCCUUUCCCUUGAUAAUAAGGAUCCAAACCAGAGAAUUCCAGUGCCCAUUAUUGAACCUGCCAAAGAGCUGAAAACAAGGCUGGAGAGCAACCAAGGAAUGCUUUCUGAAGUUAGAUAAGGAACACAUAACAAUAAGAUCUAAUCAACUACACAUACAGAAGGAGCAAAGUAACUACUAUUGAAUUCACAUUAAGAUGCAAUAUAAUGUAGGAACUGAAAGAGCAAGCAAAUGUCUUUUGUCAUAUUAGAAAAGACUUCAGGAAUCAGUGGUAAACUAUGUAAAGUGCACUCUUCAUAAUUUGGUCAUGUUUCUUAAUUUCACUCAUUCAUGAGCCAUACUUGGUGCAAAUGCAGAACUCUUUCACAAUAUGGUCAUUAUAUUGUCAAAUUUCUAUGUGCUAUAACAUAUACUACAUGAAAGAUAAUUGUAAGAUACAAUUUUCUAAAUGAAUCCAGUCAAGUUCCCUAAAUCCAUGAAAUAGGAAUCUGAAGUACAAGUCAUCAGCUUAUAACCUAACAACAGACCAACAUUCUAACACCCAAUGCUCGUCAUAUUGCUUGAUGUUUCUCAUUCAUAUGCUAAGCUGAAUGCGAGUUUCUGAACUGUGAAGGCCUAGGUGAUCGAUGAUGCCAUUAAUGCACAAUUUUUCAGACAUUCCAGGUUCUCCAAAACAUACGGGAUCCUAGUAGCCAAUUUUAGCUAACUGCGUGCAGAAAUUAUACAAAAAUUCAAAUUCCUCCACUCUUAUGCCCAUGUUCUCACAAAUCUUUAUGAAAGAAUCUCAUAGAGAGUAGUCAUUCUAAUUGAAGAUGGAAAACAAUAGUUUCUGCAAGACAACAAGGAUACCCAUUUUUCCAGUUAGGAUUUCGAGUAGAACUAAUGAAUAAUGAUUACUAAGGAUAAUGGGAUUAGAAGUAUAUACCAAUCAACAACAAGCCUUUCUAUGUACACGAUUGAACACAAAAAAAUCAGGUUCCUGCUGAUAUGAUAUGCCAAGAAAGCAGUAAAAGAAACCAUAUAAAACUUCAAUGGCAGAUAUCUGAACAAUGUUUAGCAUUUUCUGAUUCUUACUUUUGAUGGACUACGAAGAGAUAUUUGGUAUAAAACCCAAUAGAAGCGCCGAAGAAAAAGGCAGUAAUCAUCAACAGUGAGACCCUUUGAUUCUGCAUAGACAGAACAUUUACGAUAUAAGAAGCGACUUCAAUAAUAAUUCAACAACUUGGAAGAAAUCUACAAGACAUAGAUCACUUACCACUCUCGUUGCCAUUGGUAAUGUAAAGUAAAGCCCGAGUAAACUUGCUACAGAAGAAAGGACUGUGAACGGCCCUACCUCUUCCCAGAACAAGUGCAAGUAGUAUCCAAAAGUAAAGCUCAGCAUGGCACAUAAGAGAGUAAGAUACACCUAUAAUUUCAGCAAACUAAUCAAUCACAGGAAAAAAGAGAAUCCAAUACUUAGAAGCAGAAGCGAAAAUGCAUUUUUUUUCCAGCUAACUAGGUUUUGCAAAGAAAGAAAAGAUCAAACACAAGAUGCUGAAACCUGAAAUAGCAUGAAGCAAAUUAAUCCCUCCAUCCAAAUUUCUAUGAAACAAAUUCAUUUUGGUAACUUUGAAAGCAUUUGGCACCAUUCAAUUUCAUUUCAACUAUUCAAAAACAACUUUCAAGCCUGAAUAGGGAGCAAGGUUUCAAUACCAAACUCUACUCCGAUCAUUUUAUCAGAUUAUCACUAACGGCAUAAUCAAGUACAAAAGAAGAGUAAAAUAUUCAGAGAAUCGAAAUUCAUCAUUAAGUAGAGCAAGUAGAAUUCUGGCUUAUUCUUAUUUGAACAACACAGAAACUGUAAAACAAAUCGAUUCCAAGUAGAUCUCCUGAUACAGCUAUCAGUAACGAGAUUACAACAUAGAAAAAUCUCGAUUCCUCAACAUUUUAAUCAAGUAGAACAAUAAUUCUUACAUUUGUGAUCAAAUAUAAAGAAAAAAUGAAACUAUAAGAAUGAAUAUACCCUCUUCAAGCCUCUGUAAGCGAUCUCGGGAAUUUCUCCGAAAUUCAUGAGGUCUUCUCUUGUCCAAUUCCUGUUGAAGUAAGCUCUCACAGCAUUCGUUGCCCGGAGUUUCAUAUCUAAUAACUUCAUGUUUCUUGAUGCAGAGAGAAAACGGAAUCGGAAAUUUGAUGAAGAAGAAUGAGGAACGUAAGCUGUGUUUAUAGUUUGUUAUACACAGAAGAGUUCGUUACCAAAGACUGCCCCUCGCCGUUACUCUGUUUGGGACUAUUUACGUUUCUACCUUUCAGUUAUGGGCUGAGUUUUGGGUAUAUUGCAGGGGUACUUUUGUCAAAGAUGAAAAGGAGAACAAUCUCGAGGCUCAGGUCGUUGGCGGGAAAGGGGAGAGGUUUCUAAAUAAUUUUUCUGGGGAAUUUCUGUUUCCUUUUCUCUUUUUUUAUAUUAAACUAGUCUAGAACGCACGUGUAUCCUGUGUUAAUUAGUACAAAAAAAUUAAAUGAUAUAGGCGCUACUAAAACUUGCAAGUAAUAUGAGUAACUAAAUUUUGAAAGAGAAAUAUAAUUGUUUGUAUUUAUACACAAUCAAUUGAAUUGGUAUAUGUGAUAUAUUUCUUAUAUAGUUCUAAUAUAUCUUAUACUUAGUACAACAUGUCCCUUAUUUUAUUUUUUUAUAUUUCAACAACAAUGGUAUCUUGUGUAAGAAACUAUAACCUCCUUUUUAUAGACACAUGCAUAUCAAGAAGUUGUUACCGAGUAAAAGACGUAUUUUAUGUUGUACAACAUAUGUUUCUUUAAGGUGGAUAAUGUAUCAUUGUCAAUUUCAUGGAUACACUUAAAGAAAUGAGCAAACUACAUAAAUCCCACUACUUUAUACUAUAAUUACUUAGAAUCCCGGUAGAUUUUUAAAUUACUUGCUAUACCAUUUUUUUCCAGUCGGAUACAUGAAUCAAAAGUGGUUAGAUAUGUGUCUCUACCAUAAUUAAAAGGAAGAGAUACAUUAUUUAAUUAAUUUGAAUUGAAUUCUAUAACUUAAUUCCACAAUUAAAGGAUUAAAAUAUGGGAUGUAACAAACCACGAAUUAGGUGGAUUAAUUGAUAUCAAACUGUUACAGCUUCUGAAAAAAGGACUAAACCAUAUUGUUACGACAUUCAGGUUCGUGGAUCGAUCUCUGAAAGCGAUUACGCAAAUUAUAGAAUUGAUGGAAUACUAUUGAGAGAGAAUGCAACCUACAAUGAUCUAGUCGAUGGUAUUUCAACACAACUAGGGAUUGAUUGUUCACGCAAAAGAAUGGAGAUAAGAUACAUGAUGAAAGGCAAUGUAACUCCAAUGAAAAUUCGAAAUGAGAUGGGUAUGAGGUUUUUUUUAUAUAGAAUUGAAAAGACACCAAUCCAAUUGUGGUUUGUAUCCAUUAUGCAUAACAAUGGAAGAGCAAAAAAUUGGAUGCAGCAACAAUGGUGAAAUAUCUUUUAACCAAGAUACAUCCAUGGUUGAAGUUGGAGGUGACGUUGGGACUGUAUCUGUAGCAGCUCUUGUAGAUAAUCGUAGUGUAAAUGCGUUAUGUGUUUUGGAUAGUAAUUCGAAUCAUGUUAUGUAGAGUUGGGUAUGCAUUUUUACAUCCAAAAUAUGCAUUGAGUAGGUUGAGAAGAAGGGGUAAUGGAAGAUGAAGGAUAAUAACGUGUAGGUGUGGGUAGAGAUACAAAGGAGACGUGUGACUGGGAGGGAAACAAUGGAGUUGGAAAGAGAGAAAUUGAUUUGAAUUGUAAAAAGUCCCAAUAAUUAAGGAAGUAUAAUAUUAGGAUAAUUAUUAAUUACCACUUUUAAUGGGAUUGUGUAUUUGAUUAUAUUUUUUAAAAGAUACGGUAUAUUUAUUUAAAAAUGGUAUUAUAAGUAAUAUUUUUAAACUAGUACAAUUAAUUUCGGUUGUAUAUAAUUAUAAUAAAUAGUAAUCUAUCUUAUUUUCAAAAUUACGAAUAUCACAUUUUUAAAAAGACUAAUUAUUUAUAUCAUUUGGAUGAUUUAAAAGUGUCAAAUAUUCUUUGCACCUAAGUUGCUCAGGUGCCAUAUCCGUAGCAGGUUCUCCAAAACUACAUUACUUUUGAAGAAUUCGACAUGCACUCAUUGACAUUUUUGAAGAGUCCGAGCAACAUAGCUUUACACCGACUAAUAUAUAUAUAUAUAUCUUAAAUUCUUCUAUAAAUACCAGUGACACUAAUUAACUCAUGCACAAGGGCUAAUCUAACCUUCACAUUAUAUUCUCCUGACUUUCAACUUUUUAAAAAGAUGGCAAAAUCACUAAGCAUAGAGAUGAUUAUGUUUAUUGUAAUAGUGGCUGCAAUUCAACUUUGCAGCCACCACCAGGCGGAGGGAGCAUCUCGAGGGGAGAACCUUGCAGCGCAGAAGCUAAUGGUGUGUGUUUAUUGUUGGUUUUUCGGGCGAUGUGAUAAAUAUCAUGAGACUGAGGAAGAUUAUGGGGAUUGAUAAUGCUAGUAUUUCUUUUUUCCAAGGCUAUGUUGUCUUUGUGGACGUUAGUUCAGUUCUUAAUUUUCUAGUAUUAUGUAAGUUGCUUCUAUUUUCGUUUUCCUGUAUUAGAGCAGGGCGGACCUAGGUGGACCUUAGGGGUUCACUCGAACCCCCUUCUCAAAAAAACUACACUAUAUAUAUAAUGUCAAAUUCUGAUUUUAUGCGUAUAUAUAUUAAAAUGAACCCCUUGAAAACAAAGUGCAAACUUGGCUUAGUGGAUAAGUUAUUCAAGAAAUGCCCCUUGACCACGUGUUUGAAUCCCAUGGACAACAUUUUCCCCCUCUUUUUAAUGCUUUGGAAAAUGGAACUUUUGGGCUUAGACUUUCUUCUUCUUUUUUCAUAAUUUUUUCCUUUUAUUCCAUUUCUUCUUUUUAAUUUGUUUUUGUUUAAAGUUAUUAGACACAUUCUUUUAUUUUUAUUUUUUUAUUCUUUUUAUAUCUAUUAUUCAUUUUGUUUCAACGUAACUCUUUUUUCAUAUACUAACUUGAAUAACUCUUGUAAAAAAUGAUGAAUUAUUUUUAACUUGAAAUUGAGAUAGAAAUAUAAUUUAUUUUUUAAAAAAAAGGUAAAUUAGAUGUAAUUGAACGAAGAAACAUAAAUAUCAUCAACAUCCUUUUAAGAAUAUUAAUUUAUAGAUUUCAUGAAAUUUCUUUUAUAUUUUUAAUUCUAUUUUAGAGAGAUGGAAACUAAACUUAUUUGAUUUAUUUGUUAUUUGUCUUUUUUACAAAUUAUGGCUAACCUAGUAAAUUGAACUAUAUGAGCUAAAAAAUUGAUGAUGUUAUUUAUUUAUCUUCUGAAUAUGCAUUAUAAUAUUAGUAACUUUAUUCUUACACAUUUUUAGAGAAUCUUGACGAUUUUCAUAGUAAUAUGUGAUUGAUUGGAUGCUAAUUUAAAAUUUUUAAAAGUGAAAAAUAAAAAAAAACAUUACAAAAUAAAAGUAUAAAAAGCACAAGAAAUUUAAGAAUGCUCGAUGGAGCAUGAUAAAAGUAGAAAGAAAUGUUUAAUACGGUAUGAUAAAGUAAGUUAAAUUUAGCAUGAUAAGGUAAAUAUCUUUCUUCCCCGUCUCGCUCCCUUUUUCAUCAUUUGAUUUUCAUGUGUUUUAGGAAUUAACUUAUGUAAUACGGUUGAUCCACUAAAAUUAUUAUGAAUAUAUCUUUAUCCUCGAUAUCUUUGAUUAGUUUAACUUUUACUUUUAUGAACCAAUGAAAUAUCUAUGGUUCAUGUACAAAGAGCAUGUUGAGGGGCUACUACGCUCACUGCGCACUUGCAUUACUACCUGAACUUCUUCUAUAUACUUUGAACUCCCUGAGCAAAAAUCUUGAGUCCACCACUGUAUUAGAGUUGCUGAAAUUUUAACGCAUUGCAUUAAGAACGUUCUUGUUAAAUAUGUGGUGAUAAUGAGGGUUUAACUUAUGUGCACGAUAGUGUGUAUAUAUAGUACUCCUUAUGAAUCAGUGAUUCUCCUGUACAGACAUAUUAUUAAGGUUAAAUUCUAACCAAACAGAAGAGAAUCAAAAAAAGUAUGCAGAGACAACUAUAUAUAUAUAUAUAUAUAUAUAUAUAUAAAGUGACACCGCUUACAAAAAGUCUUGCGGAUGCCAUAUAAUUAUGUAUAUAAUUAGUACAUUUUAUGAAUAUUCAAAAAUCGUCAAGUAUUUUGUUAAAUUAGUAUUAGUUAGUUAGUUGAUUAUAUUUUGGAAUUAAUUAAUUUAUAAUUAUUUUAUUUCGUUAAGAUUAAAAAGCUUAUUAAUUAAUCUUAAUUAAAUCUUAGUUGAAUUUAGUAUAUUUGAUUACGUUCUUAAUUAGAAUUGAUCAUAAUUGAAACUGAUGUGGUCAUGUCCUAAUUUGAAAUCUAACCCCUUUUUUGUAAAUGUAACUAUUUUGUUACCUCACUUUAAACUCAAUUUUCGGACCAAAUUUGGGCCAGAGCCCAGCGGAUCCAAUUCAUUUCCGUUUAUAUUAUAAGAAAAUGAAUGCCACGUGUCAAUAAAGACCGCCACAUCAUCCAUUUAAUUAUUAUUAUAUUUUUUUAAAAAGACCUAGCAUUGGAAGUCUAGUGGAAUUUGGAUCCACUGGGUUAUACGUGAACAUUGGAAUAAUUAUUUAUUGUAUUUUGAAGUGGACAAGAAAAAUUAAAAUUAUUGCUACAAACGAAUAAAAUUUUAAAGUCCAUAAUAAGACCCUACAAACGAAUGCCAAAGACCGCCACGUCAUCAUCCAUUUUAAAAUUAUUUUGAUAUACGAAUAAUCAUAUUUUUGUUCUCAUCCCAAACGACCGUUACUUACAAAACUCUGUUCUCUUCUUCACUACCGAAUAUUAUCACACACGCUCUUCUUAAGGCGAUGAAGAUGAGCUUUUUCUCUCUUCUGCAGAACCUUCAAUUUCUCUAAAUGGUGAAUUUCCCAAUUCCCCUAUCAAUUUUACUUCUUCUUGGAUAAAGGAAAUCAAGUUUUUUUUUUGUAUGUGUAUGCAGCAGACAAUGACGAAAAUGAUGGUGGCGAUAAUAAAAUUGCUGAGAGACAAGAGGGAGGUGGUUGUGAGGCGAAUGAGGAGAGACAUCGGUAUGCUUCUUGAAUCCCGUCCGGAUGUCACUGUUCGUAUUCAGGUACUUUUUCCUCUAACUUAGGGUUGGGGGUUUAGUUGAUUGAUUGCUUAUUUGAAUAAUUUAUAUGUAACCUCGAAAUCAACUCGUAGGAAUGGGGAAUUUGGUUUAUCAUGUCUGGUUGUUUAUGGAUCAUUUAACUUGAUAUAUAGAAUUUUGCUUUGCUUCAAGAUUAUAGCUUGCAAUUGCUCACUGUCACAACAAGGGUGUUUACCACGGAGAUGCUGAUUGGAAAAUCUGUUGUGAGGAUUAUUUAUUAUCUAUCUUAAUCUUUUAACUAUUGUUCCUUGUUCCCCAGCCUGAAUAUUUACUUUUUCCCAUUUUCGUAUUUAACCUCUGACUUAGGGUUGGGGGCUUAGUUGAUUGAUUGAUUGAUUAAUUGAGUAAUUUAUAUGUAACCUAAAAAUCAACUCGUAGGAAUGGGGAAUUUGGUAUAUCAUGCCUGGUGCUUAGAAUUAAUAAUAAAACCUUUAUGGAUCAUUUAGCUUGAAACAUAGAAUAUUUCUUUAUAUUCAAGCUAAGCCAGCUAACCAUCUGGAAAUCAAAUGGACCUUUUUGUGUUCUGGUUUUUUCUUUUUUUAGAGAAGAAAAAGACACUUGCAAUCUUUUACAAUAAAUGAAGCAAACAUCUUAGGCUGGAAAAGUUGGCAAUUGCCAAAUCUAGACCACAUGAAAUGUAAUAUCCACCAAAUGAGUUAUGUACAUUCCUAAAUUACAAGUAUUUUUUUUGGUAAAGUACAUCAUACAAUAAGAAAGUAAAGGUAAAAAUGGCAAUGUAACAGAAGAAUAAAAGCUGAAGAAAAUAGAGAAGAGAAUUACAGAGGAAUAGAUGAAAAAGCAGAAAUACAAGAAACACAAAAAUAGCCUAAUUUGUUAUACCUAUUGAUAGCUACUUAUAACAAACUCCACACCUUCACAUGUUGCCCAAAACAUUCACUAGUCCCCUCUUCAUUUUCACAUAAGAAAUCAGAAAAGCCUAAAUAGUAUAGUCAUCAGUCUGUAAUUUUCUUUCAUACACUGAUAAUUUGCGCCAUAACGCCGUGUUGAUCCCUUUGGCAACGAAUUUAUCUUGCUGCCUGAACCAACUAGCAGUGGCAAAAAUACAAUAACAUAGCAACGGAAAAUAACACUCCUAACAAAGUGACAAGAAGAAAUAAACAUUAUGUUGCCUCCUGUUUGGUUUUUCUUGCUAAGUCGAUGUAAUGCUCAUGCAGAAACUUAACAUGUACAUUGGUGAAGGUCAUCAGAACAUAACAAUAGCUUUGUCACAAAAAGAAAAUCAGGGACAACAUUUCAUUAGCAUCCCCUUAAUCUUGAGAUUUUGUCAUAUUUCAGUAAAAUACAGUUAUUGCUAUUCCUUCAGACACACAGGAUAUUAGGCAUUCACAUAAUACAAAACUGAUGGCAAAACCAGAAAAGGGGGCAAACGAAAUAUAACGAGGAAGCUAUAAAAGGGGAUAGAAGAAGGGAGAAAAAGAAAAUCUACUUAAAAAUGGACGUCAUUAACCUCAAGUUCUCCGCCUAGUAUGCAUGUCCUACAUAAAAAUUAGUGCCUUCAGAGUUUCUGAAUCUUUACCUGCUUGCUCUAAGGUGAAAGCCAGAGCAGAAUUGUGCACCAUACCACAUGGUGUGAGCAUGAAAACAUGCUCUCAUGAAAAAUAAGAAGACUGAUCUGAUCUAUAAACAGGAUCAACUAACCAGAAAGAGGCAAGGGGGUGGUUGUCUUCAUUUUAAUUCAUUGAUCCCUUUUAGUGGCAAUUUUAAAAACAUGAUUUUUAUGAGUUUGAUUGCUCAACAUGCCCAGAUUGGUAAUAGAGAUUCUUAUUAACGUAAUCAUUUUAAAUGUCAGAAAUGCCUUGAGCAUGUCCUCUUCUCGUUCCUUGAUUUUAUAGGUGUUCCUUUUCUCAUCUCCUUUUUCUUGAUUAAUUUGUGAAACCACUCAGAUCCAUGUACAAGCAGAGGAUCAAGAUUGAUGGGAUAAAACGAGACACUUGGCGCUUCAUUAUGAAAGGUUUAAAUUACUCUCUGCGCAACUUAGUUUUUCUUCUAGUCUUCUUUUUGUUAUGAAUCUGUCGUGAUCAUCAACAAUCACGGCUUCGAGGGGCAAGCGGGCGAGACGAGGUGCCUUGGGGUAGGCAGGGCCUCGAGGCGGGCAGGGAUGCUUUGAGGCACGCCCCGGGGUGGGNNNNNNNNNNNNNNNNNNNNNNNNNNNNNNNNNNNNNNNNNNNNNNNNNNNNNNNNNNNNNNNNNNNNNNNNNNNNNNNNNNNNNNNNNNNNNNNNNNNNNNNNNNNNNNNNNNNNNNNNNNNNNNNNNNNNNNNNNNNNNNNNNNNNNNNNNNNNNNNNNNNNNNNNNNNNNNNNNNNNNNNNNNNNNNNNNNNNNNNNNNNNNNNNNNNNNNNNNNNNNNNNNNNNNNNNNNNNNNNNNNNNNNNNNNNNNNNNNNNNNNNNNNNNNNNNNNNNNNNNNNNNNNNNNNNNNNNNNNNNNNNNNNNNNNNNNNNNNNNNNNNNNNNNNNNNNNNNNNNNNNNNNNNNNNNNNNNNNNNNNNNNNNNNNNNNNNNNNNNNNNNNNNNNNNNNNNNNNNNNNNNNNNNNNNNNNNNNNNNNNNNNNNNNNNNNNNNNNNNNNNNNNNNNNNNNNNNNNNNNNNNNNNNNNNNNNNNNNNNNNNNNNNNNNNNNNNNNNNNNNNNNNNNNNNNNNNNNNNNNNNNNNNNNNNNNNNNNNNNNNNNNNNNNNNNNNNNNNNNNNNNNNNNNNNNNNNNNNNNNNNNNNNNNNNNNNNNNNNNNNNNNNNNNNNNNNNNNNNNNNNNNNNNNNNNNNNNNNNNNNNNNNNNNNNNNNNNNNNNNNNNNNNNNNNNNNNNNNNNNNNNNNNNNNNNNNNNNNNNNNNNNNNNNNNNNNNNNNNNNNNNNNNNNNNNNNNNNNNNNNNNNNNNNNNNNNNNNNNNNNNNNNNNNNNNNNNNNNNNNNNNNNNNNNNNNNNNNNNNNNNNNNNNNNNNNNNNNNNNNNNNNNNNNNNNNNNNNNNNNNNNNNNNNNNNNNNNNNNNNNNNNNNNNNNNNNNNNNNNNNNNNNNNNNNNNNNNNNNNNNNNNNNNNNNNNNNNNNNNNNNNNNNNNNNNNNNNNNNNNNNNNNNNNNNNNNNNNNNNNNNNNNNNNNNNNNNNNNNNNNNNNNNNNNNNNNNNNNNNNNNNNNNNNNNNNNNNNNNNNNNNNNNNNNNNNNNNNNNNNNNNNNNNNNNNNNNNNNNNNNNNNNNNNNNNNNNNNNNNNNNNNNNNNNNNNNNNNNNNNNNNNNNNNNNNNNNNNNNNNNNNNNNNNNNNNNNNNNNNNNNNNNNNNNNNNNNNNNNNNNNNNNNNNNNNNNNNNNNNNNNNNNNNNNNNNNNNNNNNNNNNNNNNNNNNNNNNNNNNNNNNNNNNNNNNNNNNNNNNNNNNNNNNNNNNNNNNNNNNNNNNNNNNNNNNNNNNNNNNNNNNNNNNNNNNNNNNNNNNNNNNNNNNNNNNNNNNNNNNNNNNNNNNNNNNNNNNNNNNNNNNNNNNNNNNNNNNNNNNNNNNNNNNNNNNNNNNNNNNNNNNNNNNNNNNNNNNNNNNNNNNNNNNNNNNNNNNNNNNNNNNNNNNNNNNNNNNNNNNNNNNNNNNNNNNNNNNNNNNNNNNNNNNNNNNNNNNNNNNNNNNNNNNNNNNNNNNNNNNNNNNNNNNNNNNNNNNNNNNNNNNNNNNNNNNNNNNNNNNNNNNNNNNNNNNNNNNNNNNNNNNNNNNNNNNNNNNNNNNNNNNNNNNNNNNNNNNNNNNNNNNNNNNNNNNNNNNNNNNNNNNNNNNNNNNNNNNNNNNNNNNNNNNNNNNNNNNNNNNNNNNNNNNNNNNNNNNNNNNNNNNNNNNNNNNNNNNNNNNNNNNNNNNNNNNNNNNNNNNNNNNNNNNNNNNNNNNNNNNNNNNNNNNNNNNNNNNNNNNNNNNNNNNNNNNNNNNNNNNNNNNNNNNNNNNNNNNNNNNNNNNNNNNNNNNNNNNNNNNNNNNNNNNNNNNNNNNNNNNNNNNNNNNNNNNNNNNNNNNNNNNNNNNNNNNNNNNNNNNNNNNNNNNNNNNNNNNNNNNNNNNNNNNNNNNNNNNNNNNNNNNNNNNNNNNNNNNNNNNNNNNNNNNNNNNNNNNNNNNNNNNNNNNNNNNNNNNNNNNNNNNNNNNNNNNNNNNNNNNNNNNNNNNNNNNNNNNNNNNNNNNNNNNNNNNNNNNNNNNNNNNNNNNNNNNNNNNNNNNNNNNNNNNNNNNNNNNNNNNNNNNNNNNNNNNNNNNNNNNNNNNNNNNNNNNNNNNNNNNNNNNNNNNNNNNNNNNNNNNNNNNNNNNNNNNNNNNNNNNNNNNNNNNNNNNNNNNNNNNNNNNNNNNNNNNNNNNNNNGUGCCUCGGGGCGGGGGAGGGGAAGGUGGGGGGGCUUCGAGGUACAGGGUGGUAAUAAAUUCACUUUUAAGUAGUUAAGGUGUGUAAUAGGUCACCAAGAUAGUUUAAGCGUGUGACUUUUCGAGACAAGUUCAAGGUGGAAUCUAUGUCUUUUCCCUUUGUUUAGUCAAUAUUAAUGCCUGCUUUCUCACAUGAAUUAUGACUGAAAGUUUGAGUUUAUUCUUAGUUUUGCUCGGAAUUUAUAAGCUUCCAUUGUUUAUAUGUUCAUAUGAACCUGUGAUAAGUUGUAAAGGUUGGGCUUAAUGAAGUCAUCUUGGUUGAGUCUGUUUGCUUAAGAAUCAGGUCGACAAGACUUCUCCUUCAACACAUGCUAUAUAUGUAUACACAUGCGUUAAUAAGAGUCUAAGUUUUUCUUUUUCAGCAUUUGGCUUUUUGUUUGAUUAAAACGCAUGGUAGAUUUUGUAUAACUUUCCUGAAAGCUUUCAAAUGCUCCAUUUUUUAUGUAUGAGUUUGUUUCUAAAAAAUGGCUCUGUCCCUGUUGAAUCAAGGAGGAUACCAUCGACUGAGAGAUAUAAGAAUGAAUUGUUGUCUGCCUACAUAUUUGAGAUCUUAUCUAUUGGGAUUUUCUUUACUUUGUUGGCUUCAUUUCCAAUUUCAGUCUCUUCUCUAUGAGUAAGUAUGUAAGUUGGCAUUUCUGUUUUAUGUAUUUCGAGAUUGUCCAAUGAACCAAAUGAUUGGGGAUAUAUAGCUAAUUUAUGUUCUUGAUCACUAAGGUAAGGGCAAGAUUCAGUUUUCUUUCUUAAGUCGUUAUUGAUAUGUCCAUUUCUUUGUGCUAACAAUUUCGAGCUUGCUGUGUAUUUGAAAUAUGGGUGUCCUGUUUGAGUAGUAUGUUUGCUUCAGUUGGUUCUCUUAUUACUCAAAGAAGUAAAAUAAAAUUGAGAUGUCUGUAAGCUGUUGGAAUGUGCUAUCACUCUUCAUCUCGUUUGUUCUUUUUCUUAGUUUAUGUGCGAUCAAAGCUGAAAGCUUGGGCGUUUUUUCUCAGUUUUCCCUUCCUGUUUGAUUUUUUUUUCUAGUCUUAAUGUACAAGUUUGGUUUCAAGUUAUCAUUUUAUCAUAGAACCUCUGAUUGUAUGUGUCCUAGUUGGAGCUUUUUGAGUUUAGUUUACACAAUAUGAUAUGAAUUCGGCCUUAAGUAUGGUGUUCAGAUUAGUGUAUCGUUUCUCUUUAUCUAAUGUUUCUUAGCAAUUCAGUAGCUUUCUCUGAUUCUAUCUUCUUUGGAAAGUAUUUUCAUUAAUCUUCUUUAGUUAGCUUCUUUCCUGCCAUGUAUGUUAUCUCUAUUUGUGUGUCAUAAAAUGUUUCCUUUGAGUUCUGCAUUAGUCAUUUCUUUUUGCUUAAAUGGAGAUUGCUCAAGUUCUAUCACGAGUUUUUAACUAAUAUGUAGACAUUCUGGAUAUUAGCCUUCUUGAUAGCAAAAUGUAUUGUUAUUUAGAUAUCUGCUUAUUCCUUUUCUCUUACUUUGUUUCGCAUGAACUCUCUUCAAAUGAGUCCUUGGACUCCCCACCUCAAGUUCAUGUGUCAACCUCCAUCAAGUUCGAAAAGGGAAGCUAAUAUUAUUGGGUUAAAACUCAAAUUAGUGGCAGCAGCUAAGUAGCGGAGUAAUAGCAGUCCCAAAAGGCUGGAAAUUAAUUUGAUCAUUGCAGCAGCAGUAGCCCAAAGGGUUAAAAAGAAGAAUUUUUUCGGACUCUUAAGUCAGAUAAUAACUCAGCAGCAGCAGGACUGAUUGCUUUUGGACCAAAAGUCCAGAUUCUUUCAAAUUUUAUAUGAUAUGAUAUGAUGAUUCAAAAGAUAAAAGGGGUAAUGUUUCCAGAUUCUUUAUUUUAACAAAGGACAAAUUACUUAACUACACUCCUUUACUUACCUUAAUAUCCAUUUAUUCCUACUUAUUUCAAAAAUUUCAAAAAUCCCUUAUUUACCUAUGUAUCUCGUGCACAACGCUAUGUAUCCCGCUAUGUGGAAAUGUAUCAAACCUAAUGUAUCAUGUGCACAACGCUAUGUAUCCCGCUAUGUGGAAUGUAUCAAACCUAAUGUAUCAUGUGCACAACGCUAUGUAUCCCGCUAUGUGGAAAUGUAUCAAACCUAAUGUAUCCCGUGCACAACAGUGGAAUGUAUCAAACGGUAUGUAUCCCGUGCACAACGCUAUGUAUCCCGCUAUGUGGAAUGUAUCAAACCUAAUGUAUCAUGUGCACAACGCUAUGUAUCCCGCAAACAUCAUUUUUAAGGGAUUUUUGGUAAAUAGAAAACUAGAAGGGAUAGGAUGUUAUUUAGUACUUAUAAUAUGUGGUUUCUAUAAUUUAUACUUUAACAAAUCCACUGAUGUUGAUAUUUUGGCUUCUUUAUUAAUUUUUUAUUUUAUGAUUAUGGUGUCCGAAUCAACUUUUGCACACCUUGACUAAUUUCAAGCUAUACUUGUCACCUCACACGACUAAUUUGGCCUCUUUUUACAAAUUGUACAUAUUUCUAAAAAAAUCUCAUCACUCUAAGUCUUGACUGAAAUUUAAUUAAGAAAAAAAGUUAGUGGGCGGGUCAGGGGUUAAAUUGGGCCGGAAUCAGUCCAACAAGUCAGCCCGACCCACUUGAUAGAUAUAAUUUUGAAUUGAUUUGGAUUAAUUUUGAAAUAAAAACAUAUGUUCAUUAGUAUUUUUUUACGCCAUAAAUUAUACAUUUCUUUUGGCUGCUAAAAUUGAGCUAUCCAUCAACCAAUUCUUGCUAUAUUUAAAACUUGGUCAAUACCAGUAUAUCUUAUUGCAACUUACAUGAAACCUACUACAACCAAACAAAUCAAAGAAGCAAUAAAGUCUCUUAAACCAUAUCAAACUAUCCUUUUCCAAAAGGUAGUUGGUUGAACGUUGGUAUAAAAUAUAACUACUAAUAAGGCAACAAACUUCUUCGAUCCAACAACUGGCAGUUCCAUAAAGUAAAUUAAAGGUGAAGAAAAAAAUCACUUUUAUUUCUUACAACAAUAUAAUAUGCACACAAAAAUGAACAUUAAUUAAAAAAAGGGACAAAAAUAACAACUGAUAGAUAGUAAGUAAAUAGGAAGGAAAUAAUGAUUCAAAAUAAAAGCACUGCCUCUCGCCUAGCACAUGAACACAAACAAAGCUCCCAAUACAACUGAAACUCCGAUCACAAAUUUGUUCAUGCUCCCAAAUACUCCGGUUGCUCCAUUAGGCGUAGUUGGGGUUGACUUCGCGGGUGUAUUGGGUGUGGCGGGUGAAUCGGAAGGAGUUGACGGAGUUGAUGGAGUUGAAGGAGUUGAAGGAGUUGAAGGAGUUGAAGGAGUGGAGCUAUCUUGGACAUUGACAGAUAAUUUCAUGCCAGAUUGACAAUGACCAAAAGUAGGACAAGAGAAGUACAUUGGACCAGAUUUGGAAAGUUUGAUUGUGGUUGCUCCAUCGCUGUAUGACUCAAUGGCAUUUCCGGUGUUGCAGUUUUCGUAGUCAUCUUUGCUUAUCACAUCCACUCCAUGGCUUCCACCAUAGUUGAACACUGAUCAUUCAUCAUUAAAAUUCAAAAUUUUAAUAAUGAUAAUUGAGAAAUUAAACUUUGUUAAUGAGUACUAUAAUAUAUGGAAAGGAAACAAUUUCUUGUCAAUCCUAUAGUCGUUCCACCAUUAAUCAGAAUGAAGAACCUUUUGAUAGGGAGAAUUUUAUCUCUUAGUGAACCUACUCAACACGAAUCCAUAUUAAUUAAGGUUCGAAUGAUUAUAGUAGUAGUACUAAGAAAACAGUUAAUGUUGCAUCGUGUACAAGCACCAUUUAGUUGACACUUAAUUAAACACAGAGUACUCUGUUUUUUUCCACUCAUAAACUCUGUUUCUCAAAUGCUAAAGAAUUAUAAGGUCUCUUCUCUAACUUAAGGAAAUUAUUGGACUAAUCUAAAGAAAUACGAUGUGAUGAGAUGGUUGAGAUUUUAUAAAAAAAAUGGGGGGCACGGGAUGGGAAAUGGAAACGGGAUUACAAUGUGAGGAAAUCGAACCCUCACUAAUAAGGUGGAGUUCAGAUAGACAACCAGCUGAGCUACUAAGAUUUCCCAAUUUAAAAAUCUUGAAUUCAAGCCUUAGGAGUGAAAAAUAUUUCAAUAAGGAACAAUGUAUCUCUUUGAUAAAGGUACCUAACACAAAUCCAAAUUAAUCGAGCGUAUACAUUACAUUACGAAUAUUAAAUGUCUGACAAUGAAAAUUGAUACAAGUUGAAAGACUAACCAAGGGUGUCACCAACGGUGAAGGUUUCAGCAGCAGCCCAAGUGGUGUAAUCACCGGAUUGGGUCCACCCGCCGCUGCCUCCGACGACGUGGUUGGCGGCAAAAGCCACCGGAGAAGCAACAAGAAGAAAGAGGAGAAUUGCUACUGCUGACACUGCCAUUACUUAAAUUUGAUUAAUAAAAUUUCUUUCUAAGUUAACAAAAAAAUGUUGUUGAAGAUUAAAGAGAGAACAAAGAAAGAAAGAAAAUUGCACACAUUUGGCAAAUGAUGUGUGCCUUACUUAUAUAGAGUGCAUGUCAUGUAGUUUCAAUGCUACAAGUAACCUUUUAAGAAAAUAAAAAAAUAAAUAUAAAUUCCAGAGUUUUAUUACUUGUGAAGAUGUAAUAUUUAAACAUGGGAUUUGGUGCAGCUCUACUUUCCCAUGUCUACCUAAUAUUGUUAGCAAUCAUAUUUGAACGUCUUUCUCUAUACUUUUGCUGACUUUAUGGCAUCUCUAAAAUGUCGUGGCAUUACCCCUUGGAACUUAAGUUUUGCUAUUACUUGCCUUUCUCGCUAAAAAUAAAUAAAAAUAGAAGCUUGUUUUAAUCAACAAUUUGACUCACAAAAAUAUAGUGUUACAAAGGAGCGGCUCAAGCACAUUCAGUGACUUAAAAAUUAUUUAUUAUAAAUGAUUUAUUCUAAUAAUUUUUAUUCAAAUAAUGUAAUCAAUUCAUAUAAUUUUUCUUGACACAUAAUAUUUCAAAUGUGUCAAACUUUUUCUAAUAAUUCUUUACUUUUAUAUAAAAAGUUUACUUCUUUUAGAAAUAGUACUCAAUAUUAUUAUUGUUAGAAGAAUUGGGUCCCUCAAAUAUGAAGGCUUAAGACACCUGCCUUUAAUUCUAGAGGCGAAAGUCAAAAUUUUAAUUUAUAGAUUUUAAAUUUUAUAACAAUAAUUUUAAGUAUUAAUAACUGAAUUUUCAAUGUAAUAUAUCAAAGGUUAUUGGGUUCGUCGAAUAUGUACUCAGACUUCUAGCUCUGUCUUAUUUAUUCGAACUCUUUAGAGUCGGCACUGCAAUACAAUAUGAGAAGGUAUAUUUAAUAUUUUUGUUCCAAGGAUAUGUUUAAGUUGUUUUCAAAUUUAAACUAAAGUUAAUCAAAUAGCCAAGUCCACGGUGAUUAUAAUUGUAAAAAAAAUUAGAUGUGUAUUAUAUGUGAAUAGCUAGGCUAGCUAUUGGUAUUAUUUACACACGACUUUUCAUGUUUUUUUGAGAAUAUACUUGAUCGGCGCCACCCAAUAUGUAAUAAAUUUAUCAUAUCAUGCAAAGAGUAGGUUUUGGCAAAACAAAUAAAAUACUUUGAUAAUGUAUUGAUUUGAGAAAAUGAUUGUCACGUAUUUGACUUUGGACCAAUUAAUAUAACUAAUUCUUAAUUUUAUUUGUGUUGGUUGGGUUUGUUACUUGUUAGGCCAUGCAUUAGUUGUCCUCUUAUCCAAUCACAGAUAAUUGCAGUUUUAAUUAGUCAAACGAACAGUUUUUUUCUUGUUCUAAUUAUUAAGUGAAGUAUUGAAAACACCUCUAAACUUGACGCAAAUUAUUAGUUUCUUUUCCGAACUAUUGAUUGUUUUAAAACAUCUAUCUACUUGAUUAACCAAACUUAAAUACACUCCCGAUCUGCCACAUGACAUAGCAAGUGGUCUCAAACUCUUGUAUGAACAUGAAGCUCUUAAUAAAAGAACAAGAGAAGUGUUGAAAAUACCCCUAACUAAACUUUAUUCAUGUUGCAAAAUCGAGUGUGUAUUUAAGUUCAGUUAGCCAAGUAAAAUGGUGAUUUUUAAGACUGUCAAUAGUUUACAGAUGAAACUAAUAAUCCACAUUUAUUUUAAGAGUGUUUUCAAUAAUUCUCUUAAUUAUUAAUUUUUUGUACUAAUUUAUUGGUUAGUGCCAAUUAAACGAAACACACGACGAAUAAUACCUUAUUGGGUCAGCUUCCAGAAUAUGGGUUAGUUAUAAAAUUUCGUGUAUAAGUUGUGCUCAAUAUAAAAUAGUAAUCAAUUACUAACCAUUCAACUAAUGUUAGCUAGCUUGUUCUAAAUAUAUCUUGAACUAUUAACUCUAGAAAAAAAAAUUAAAAAUGUGUAAAGGUCGUAAAGUUCUUUAAUGUUUUUUUGACUUAAUCAAUCGUCGAAGAAAAACGAAUGAAUAGAAAUCUUAUAUUAUAAUUUCCUAGGGGAAUACCAUAAUUAUUAGAAAUGAGUCGAUAGGUAUAGUUUAUUUUUUAAUAUAGAUAUCCCAGUAGAACAUGGAAAUGAGUUGGUUUCGAUUUGAAUCUUUUCUGAUUGAUAAUUUGGAAUUGUUUAAUGAUUGAUCAUGAAGAAAAAAUUGUAACAUCCAAAGUUCAAUGGAAUAAACGUAGACGAAUAGAAAUAUAAAGAGUGUAAAUUUCUUAAAGAAAUAAAUGAUUAGGAAUAAAAUGGUGUGAGAAUUGUAAAAUUAGCCUUUCCUAUUUCAUUAACCAGCGAGGUGACGCUUUUUCAUUCUUCAACACCCCAUUUCAUGUCUACGGCUAGAUAUUUGAUGUGUGAGCAAAUUUAAUUUGGGGAUCUAGCAUUGAGUGAGAUAGGUUUUGGUCUAAUACAUUAUAAAGUUAGUCUUUGUGCUUAACUCACACCUCAAAAGAUAUUCUUAUAAUACUUUUUAUGUAAUUUUCAAAUAUUUAAAAAAAAAUUAAAAAGUUUAUGUCCAAAUUUAUAAUAAAAAUUAAACUAUUUGAUUCUCAGAAUCUGAACUAGAAAAUUAAAAGACAGGGAGUAGAAUUUUGAGAACGACGUGAUGCCAAGUGUUUUGAUCAGUGGCAUGAAAUCUGCAAAAAUCCUUUUAAGGAUUUGACUGAAAAAACAUGCAUACGGUGAAGAAUUAAAACAUAUUUUUUAAAAGAACUUUUUUUCUUCUUUGAAACAAAAAAAAUAAUACUCCCUCUGUUUCAUUUUAUGUGAGAUAGUUUGAUUCGGCAUGGAAUUUAAGAAAGAAAAAAAGACUUUUAAAACUUAUGGUUCAAAAUGAAUGAUAGAAAUUUGUGUGGUUGUAAAUCAUUUUAUUAAUGAUAAAAUAUACAUUUCAUAGUUAAAUUGUUACUUAAUAUAGAAAUGUGUCAUUCUUUUUUAGACUAACUAAAAAGGAAAGUAAGUCACGUAAAUUGGGACAUAGAAAGUAAUUGAUUGACAUUUUAUUUUGGUUGCUUUAAGACGGAUUGAUUUUCUAAUUUUUAAUCUUUAGGAAAGCAAAUUUAGAGAUUAGAAGCAAGAUCGGAUAAAUAUUAACAGGUAUUUCAUACUUUAUAAAAUAAAUAAAAUAAUAAAUGGUGUUUUUAUUUUUUUCAUUUUGUAUUAAAAUAAGUGGUGUUUUAUAUUAUAAAAAAGAAAUCUUUCCUUCCAAAAUCGCCAUUAUUUUAAUACAUUGAAUUUUAUAUCAUUAAAGAGUUAUAUCUUUCUUUGCAAUGAGACAUUUAAUCAAGGAUAAAAUAGUAAAAUAUUUUUUAUUCAUUUUAGAAGUGAAUAAUUUUUUAGUGGGUGCAUCCAAGCUAAAAGUACAACUACUUAUUUUAAAAUAAAAGGAGUAUUAUUAAUACUAUACAAAAUUCUAUGACAUUUUCUUCACCACGAUAUAUAAAUGAAUCUUGCUCAAAGAUUUCCUGAACAAAUGUAUAUGUUUAUGGCAAGCACAUAGCAACUAUUUUAUUGGAUUGGAAAAUUUCAAAAUAAUAAAUUGGAAAAAAUAAUAAUAAUAUUUAUUUCGAAAAAAAAAUUAUAUAUUGUUUACUGCAUAAUUGACAGAUAGAGUAUUAGUAAGAAAAGAUUUUGAUAUAAGUAACUAAAUAUUUAUUAGGUCUCCACCCAUAUAAAUCUAUGGACCAUCAACAUUAUAAUUGAUGGAGGUCUUAUUUAUAGUUACAAGAAGGCUUAAGCCAUACAUGGCCAUCAACAUGGGUUGUAGUGCACUGGUGAGAGUGGUUCACCCUUAAUCAGAUGUCUUGGGUAUGGAGAAAAUUAUGUUGGGAGCGUCAUCCUCGAAUGGACCUUGUAGAGCACAAUUCAGAUUUAGUCGGACCUCCAAUGUGAGCUCCGAACACCGAGUGGAAAACCAAAAAAAAAAGUCAGCCCUUUAAAGUUAUUUGUAUAAUUCGCUUAGACAUCUUAACUAGAACUAGUACUUAUUGAACACAUCUACCUAUUUAGAUUUGAACCUUUUCAUCACUUUUUUGACAAUCAGCUAAAAAAUAUAAAUGUGUGUAAUACACUCACAUGACAAAUUGACAAAUCAAUGAUGUACAUGUGACAUUUCGAGGGACAAAAAAAACAAGAAAUGAAGGAAAACGGAAGUCGCAGUGGAAUCAACUACAAAACUAAUGAUGAAAAACUAAUUCAUCUCAUGUCUAUGGAGUAGAGACAUCAACUUAUCUCUGAGCAAUCAACUGAUUUAACUUACUAAUGAUCAGUAGAGAAAGAUUUACAAUUCAACUGAUCUCUGAGCAAGUUGGAGUGAAAACGAUGCAAAUUCUUCAUUUAAAAUGCCAUCCCGUCCAACCAUUAUUGCCGUCGUCACCUUCAACCCUUUCAAUUCAACGAUUUUUUUUUUCAGAUCUGAUUUUUUAAAAAGUUGAAAAUAGCAAAUUACAUAUACAUAAAAAUUAAUCAAUACAUGAACCACCUAUAAUUUUUUAGAUACCAAUAAAAUUAUUGACUACAUAAUCAUCUAAGCAAAGCAUGGAGAAAGGUGGAAGGAGAAGUGAUUCCUUUUUUAUUUUAGAUCUGAUUUAUUUGGUACAUAUAUAUAUAAAUUUUUCAAGAAGAAAAAAAAAGGAAGGAAGAAAUAUAAUAGUCAUUGUGUGAGUCUCUAUUUUUCUGAUGAAUAAGAUCGGUGAUAGUGAUGGCAACAUCGGCGGCAACUGUGGAAAAGGUAGUGCAGUAGAAGAAGUUAUGGCUAAUGAAGACGGAAGAAGAAAGAGAUUAAAAAAAUUAAUUAAUUAAAAGUACCCUUCUGACGCAUUAAAUGUAGGUGUAGUGUAUCUUCCUUGCCAGCAAAAAAGUAUUUGAUAGAUACUUGUUUUUGAAUAAUAUAAGUGUUCAAUAGGAAUAAAUGUUAAAUAAGGUAUCAAAAUAAAAUAUUCGAAUAACUUUAAGGGGCUAUAUAUAACUUAAGCCUUACAGGAAACUCCAAAAAAAAACAUGUUGAGGUCAAACUGAGAACUUUAAAUUACGUCCAAUAAUUUUGAAAAUGGAUAGUCUUGAAUUUUUUACCCUCUUAAAGUAUUCAUGAGAUAGUAGGGUCAUAAGUUCAAGUUCAAGACCGCGUCUAAUGUCAUUAUCCAAGAUCUUUGCAAACAAAUAAGGCUAGGAUCUCGAACCGAAAGACAAGCAAGAAAAAUAAUCAUUAUUUUAAAAUUCACUAGUGAAUCUGACAUUAUAUAGUGUUUUGAAAUUUCACUGGUGGAAAUCCAAUUUUUAAAAUAAUGGCUAUUUUUAAUAUUAAUAGGAGAAUGGCUGGCCUAAUAAAACAAAAAUAAUAAGAAAUUAAUGCCCAAAAAAGAUACUACUGUAUAUAAUAUAUAUAAUACAAAACUUUAUUGAAGGAUUUUAAGAAUAAAACAAGGGAAAAGGGAUAAAUAUAUCUCGAACUUUCGAAAAUGUUACUCCCUCCGUUUCAAAAAGAAUGACCUAGUUUGACUUGGCACGGAGUUUAAGAAAAUAAAGAAGAUUUUUGAAUCUUGUGGUCCUAAAUUAAAGUUAUGUCAAAUGUACAAAAUUGCCGUUUAAUCUUGUGGCCUUAAACAUGCCACGUGGAAAGUUAAAGUUAAAAUGUUGCUAAAAAAGGAAAGGGGUCAUUCUUUUUAAAACAGACUAAAAAGGAAAUAGGGUCAUUCUUUUUAAAACGGAGGGAGUAUGUCAAUACCCUCCGUCAUACUUUUCGUCCAUUAAUGCCCUCGCUGUCCAAUAAUCAGUGCACAUUUACCCCUCCCACUAACGGAAGACUCAUUUUGUACACAUGGCGCAAUCCUACGCCUCAAUCCGAAUUGAUCAAAUAUUUAACCCAAAUUUCAAAUACUCGUUUAACCCGCCCCAUUACCCAUUUUAACAAACUAUCUACAAUCCAAUAAUCAGGCGUAGGAUUGUGCCACGUAUGAAUUAAAGAAGAAGCUCCAAGGAAAAAGCUCUAUGUUCAUGAACCAAAUUCACGUGAUCUCCCUUCCCAAACAAUUUUUAAGAUUGAGGUGACAUUGUUUUUGGAUUUUUUCCAACUAAAGCAGUCACUUGGAAGCUUGUAAAUAACUACUAUCACUUCGAAGUUUUGAGGUCACAUUGUUUUGAAAAACUUAUUAUGAUUUAUAACUUGGAAGCUUGCAACUACUUUUUUUUUUCAUCCGGUGUCGUACCUGCAUUGAAGCCUAACUAUUCCAAAUUCAUGCCACGUAGAACUCAUUCGAGGGGAAAUACUCCCUAUCAAAGAUUUUUUCAUAUUCAGACUCGAACUCAAGAUCAUAACUACUAGCACUUACUGACAUAUACAGAUUAUUCUUAUCCCCAGCAACUCCAAAAGUAAUGAAUUCUCACAUCCAACUACUUGUAAAGCUCUUGGUUAUUGGACACUGACUUCCAUUUUUCACUUAUUGUUGUAAUCUUUUAAAGAACGAAUUUUAUAAACAGGUACAAGUAAAUACUUUUUUUAACCCCACCUGAGUAGUCCAGUAAAAGUCUAUAUAACUUAGGCACACAUACAUAUUUUUACUGUUGUUAUCUUUCCUUUCUGUUCCAGCAAAUGAAAAUCAUCUGAAUUUACAAUGCAGUUGCAUCUAGAGGUGUCAAAAUGAGUUCAACUAUAGGUAAUUCGUUCAAUUCAUUCACAAUUUUAAAGGUUGGACUUAAGAUAAUUUAACAUGGGUUCAAUCUCAAUUCAUUUAAGUUUUAACCUAUUUUAAGAGAAUCUUCAAUUUAGCCUAAUUUAAUAGUAUAACUUACAUAAAUGAUGUGUAGUUAGGUAAUUUUUCCAAUUUAAUAUCCAAUUUCAACCCGUUUUAAUUUUUUUUUAUUUGUGUUGAUAUAAUGUAUGUUCCUAUAUUGAAGGUAUGAAUUACUAUCUAUUUUAUACCUUUAGGAUUUUUCUAUCCAUUUGUAACUUCUUUUUUUAAAAUUUUCUUGAGUUCAAAUUCAAAUUGUGGUUAAAAAAGUUAUAUGUAAUUCGCUAUACAUAUACAAAAAAAACAGUUGUAUAAUCCGUUUUGGUAUACAUAUACAAAAAGAUCAAUUGUAUAAAGUGAGAGAGGCGAGUGAGCGAGCGAGAUCUAGGAGAGUGGCGAGCGAGAUCUGGGAGAGUACCGAGUNNNNNNNNNNNNNNNNNNNNNNNNNNNNNNNNNNNNNNNNNNNNNNNNNNNNNNNNNNNNNNNNNNNNNNNNNNNNNNNNNGUUUUGGUAUACAUAUACAAAAAUAUCAAUUGUAUAAAGUGAGAGAGGCGAGUGAGAGAGCGAAAUCUGGAGAGUGUCGAGCGAGAUCUGGGAGAGGGGAGAGAGGGGAACGAAAAUAUAUGUAUAUAUACAAUUUUCUCUCGCUUUAUACAAACACAAACGCAUUUUAUAUAAUUUGCGUUUUUGUAUAAAUUUUUUGUAUAAAGUGAGAGAGCGAGAUUUGGGAGAGGGAAGAGAGGGGAACAAAAAUUAUAUGUAUAUAUACAAUUUUCUCUCGCUUUAUACAAACACAAACACACUUUAUACACUUGCGUUUGAUAAAAAAAUGAGAGAGGUGAGGGAGAGAACGAGAGUGGCGAGCGAGAUUCACCAGGAGAGAGGUGAAAUAGCAACAAUUUGCUAUGAGGUACAAUUAAAUCAAACUAUAUUUAUAGCAUUUAAUUUGAAUUAAUAGUUUGCUAUUAUAUACAAUUUUCCCUUUAUAUUUCAACCCAUUCUAAAAUGAGUAAAUUUUAGGUUUAGCAAACAUAAAAAUCAUAUUUGUAUGUUAUAGCUAUAGUUUGCAUAAUUGCGCUCCAUAGCAAAUGUUAUGUCUGCUAUGUAGCUAUUAAUUUGUAUAUUUCAAUAUUCAUUCCAAUUGUAUAAGUAUAUAUUUGGAAUAUGUAUACAAAUAAGAAACUGACUUGAUCAUAAGGUGUAUAAGUAUAUAUUUUUUUGUUGUGAUUUUCAAUCAUAUAUGUAUAUGUAUAUGUAACUGUAUUUUUGUAUACAGAUAGAUUUGUAUACAAAUAUCUCUCUCUCGUUUUAUACAAACACAAAUUAUACAAAAUCCAAUGUAUAAUUUGUGUUUGUAUAAAACGAGAAAGACAAAGAGAACUGGGUAAGGGAGGAUUUGUAUUGUAUAAUUAUAAGUGUAUAGGACGAAGAUAUAUGUAUUUGUAUAUACAAUUUUCUCACUUUAUACAAACACAAACACAAUGUAUACAUUUGUGUUUGUAUAAAAUGAGAGAGGCGAGAGAGAGUGGCGAGCGAGAUUUCUAGGAAGAGAGGCGAACGACAAAGUGUUUGCUACGAAUUAGAAUUAAAUGAAAUUGUGAUUAUAACAUUUAUUUUGAAUUAAUAGUUUGUUAUUUCAUACAAUUUUCCUUUCUAAAAUUUCUAAUUUCAACUCAACCCGCUCGUUUGUCACCGCAGUAGCAUUCGAUUAAUUUGUCCUCUUUUUAAGCUUGGCAUCAUAGUAAUGAAUGGUAUUAGAUGGUGACAUACUUGUCCUUUCUGGCUGCUGUUUUUUUCAGUAUCCCCAAACAAUACGUGUUAUCGAUGAGAGUCUCUUACACAAUACGUGUAAGUUCAAUCCUCAUUACAAAUAUUUAUGAAAAAUAAAGAAAGGAUUGCCAACCCAUAUACUUGAUCUAAUGUAAGCUAUGAAGUACAUGUUAGAUGAUAGAGCUGCGCGAAUCACUUUAACAGAGACAAGUUGAUUUCUUUAUCUUUUGAAAAAAAAAAUUGUGAUGUUGUCAUAUAUUUGGUUCAUUCGUUGUCUGUAUUGGCAAGGGUUGAACAGAAAAGUGAUAAUUUGGACUAUUGUGAGAUUGAAGGAUUACAUAAUAAUGGUGUGUUUCGUACGGAGGAAAAUAUUUUUCAAUUUAUGUUAAAAAUUAUAUAGAAUAUUUUCUCUAGAAAAAUAAAAUUCUUGAAACUGAGGAAAUAACUCCUCUAGUGAAAGUAGAAAAUAAUAAGUUCCAGUAAUAACAUAUUAGUAUGUCAAAUAUCUCCUCACCACCCUUUAAUACAUCCCAUCUCCACUAUUAAAAAAUCACUAUUUUCUCACUGUAAGAAUAGAUACUUGAUUAAAUCGAUGGAAAAAGAAAAACAAAAUAAUAUUUUCAUAUGGAAAAGUUAAAAAGUUUUCCACAAUGCAUUUUUCGGGUGAAUUGGUUUAAUAGAAAAUGAAAUUAUGAUCUAAUUUCCCAUCGAUUCGCAGUGCAUUUUUUUUUUGUUUUUAGCAGUUCUCAUACUCCUACCUCUCUCACAUGAUAUUUGCCUAGAUUAUAAAAAAUAUUUUUAAAACAAUAUUUUCUUCUUACUUACAAACACCAAAAAAAAAAGUUAAAAAACCACUUAUUUUUCUAUAAAAUAUUUCCUUCACGCCCCACACAACCUAAGACAAUUUAUUUAGUCAUUCUACAGUUUUUAGAAUGUUAACACCAAUUGAGAGUGCACACAGCACAUGUCAUGUUCUAAUAUAAUUCAUUAACUCCAACAACUUAUGCUAUCAUGCAUCAAAAACUAUGUGUGAGACAGUGUGCUUCGUCUCAUUGCAUUAUUCUACUUGAAUUUUGUCAUCACUUCCCUUUGUUUUCUCAAUAGAAUAUACUAAUAUAUAUUAUAAUAGAUAUUCCUACCUCUCUCACAUAAUACAAGAAAAAAGAAAAUUCUGUAUACUGUUUAAUUUGAUUAUAAAUUUACUAUGCAGAUAUAUAAUGGCUUCAUCAAUUUGAUAUUCAUCACUUCCCUUUAUUUUCUCCAUUGAAGAUAAACAUAUUAUAAUCAGGCAUGGAUGCAGGUAUAGUUAUCGAGUUCAUAUGAACUCAUUAUUUUUAAGGCAAAGCAAAAAUUUAUCAAUUUGAGUAUCUACUCAUAACUUAAAAAUAUAUUGAGUUUAAUGCAAAAAAAAAGCUUAUAAAUCAAUCCUGGCAUGGAAGAAGAAGAUAUUUCAUCUUGACUUGUUAAAUACGACUCUAUUAUCAAGCUCUGAGAUGCAAGGAAUUCACAAUCUUUUGCUAUAGUUCUUACUCAUUAUAUAUUAUUUCGAUCAUCAUUUUUGUUCUUUACGUAGUCUAUAGAUUUUCAUUUAUUCUUGUUUUCCCAACCUAGCCAACAAAAAAAAAAGAGUUGGGAGUCCAAAAUAGAACCCAUAAAAAUAAAUUCUGAAUACUAAAAUUUGGUCUGCCCAAAAUUUCUGACUAUAAAAUAGCAGUGAAUUGGAGUCCAACUCCCGCUUAAUCGGCAAUAAAGAAAAUGGCAACCUUACUGGAGCGUGGGUCACACACAACCUUACUCAUUCAUUCAAGGCGCGUGAGCGCACCCAACUAAAUGAAUCUAAACACACAGUGUGUGUAGUAUUCAACCUAUUUUAUUUUCUAUUAUUUCCCCCCCCCCCCCCCCCCCCCCCCCCCCCCCCCCCCCACCCCCCNNNNNNNNNNNNNNNNNNNNNNNNNNNNNNNNNNNNNNNNNNNNNNNNNNNNNNNNNNNNNNNNNNNNNNNNNNNNNNNNNNNNNNNNNNNNNNNNNNNNNNNNNNNNNNNNNNNNNNNNNNNNNNNNNNNNNNNNNNNNNNNNNNNNNNNNNNNNNNNNNNNNNNNNNNNNNNNNNNNNNNNNNNNNNNNNNNNNNNNNNNNNNNNNNNNNNNNNNNNNNNNNNNNNNNNNNNNNNNNNNNNNNNNNNNNNNNNNNNNNNNNNNNNNNNNNNNNNNNNNNNNNNNNNNNNNUAAUUUUAUUACUUUAAUUUUAAUUUCAUUUUAAAUUCUACUUCAUCUUCCACCCCUACAUUCAAGCUACCCCUCCCUCCCCUUUUUUUUUUUUUUUUUUUUUUUUUCCCCCCCCCCCCCCCCCUACAUUCUGGAUCAACUUGUGAAAAUCAUCUAAGAUUUUCCUGCCUUCAUUUAUAACAAUAGUGCUAUUAUACAAUAAUUCAUUUAUUAUGAGCAUACAAUAAGGCAUACUUUUCAUUGCUUAUAGUCAUGGUAUCAUCAAAUUCCUACACAUAUUCAUUGUAUAACAAAAUAAGUAAACUUUUAAAAGGAAAAUAUAAUUAUAUCUUCAUAUUUUCCUGUUAUAUAAAUAGCGAGUCCAAGUCAUAUUUGAAACACAACAAAAUGGAUAAGAGCUCAGCUACACCAAAUGAUUCAUUUACAAGUGCCAUGACACUUACUGAAGAGGGACUAACCUGUAUUCCCAAACGUUACAUCGUUCCAUCAUCCCUACGCCCCAACGGAACCUUGUCCAACUCCAACACAUGCUUGCCAAUUGUGGAUCUAUCCUUACUGCAACACCCUCUUCUUCGGCCUCAGAUAAUCCAGCAAGUAUACCUGGCCUGCAAGGAACUAGGUUUUUUCCAGGUACGUAAAGUUUCUUCAUGCUGAUACCAUUUAAGAGAUAACAAUAUACACUCACCAAGUAAAUAAAAAAUGUUCUGGCCUUUAUCUCCUUCUCUCUUCCCUUUAUUUUCAGUUGAUGACGUCCUAGAUUUCAUAUACUUAGCAGUUUAAAAGGAAAGAGAAUAAGAAGUUCUUUACUAAUUCAACCUGGACGUAGAAUAACAGCAUGCAUGCAAUAAAUGACUGUGUGCAGGUAGUCAACCAUGGAAUUCCAUUGUCAGUCAUGAAAGAUGCAUUAGAUAAUGCGAUUGAGUUCUUCGAUUUACCAAGUGAAGAAAAACUGCAUCUCUUGUCUUCAAAUGUUCAUGACCCCGUAAGGUAUAGUACCAGUCUAAAUGAUGACAAAGACAAAGUAUCCUUUUGGAGAGACUUCCUCAAGCACUAUGCUAAUCCAAUCUCAAAUUGGAUAGAUUUGUGGCCAUCAAACCCCACAUUUUACAAGUGAGUCUUGUAUUCUUAAGUGAAUAUGUUUAUCUCUGAAAUAUUUCUGAUAUACAUAUAUUCUAAAUGUUCAAGAAGAAUAUAAUUUCAAAAGCCUAAAGCAGCUCAUCAUGCAGGGAGAAAAUGGGAAAUUACACAAAGGCAGUACAAAAGUUGCAAGAAGAAAUCAUGGAAGUAAUAUUUGAGAGCUUAGAACUAAACCCCGAUUACUUACAUGAAGACAUUGCAAAAGGCUCCCAGGUCAUUGCCGUUAAUUGCUAUCCAGCAUGUCCUGAGCCGGAUCUUGCACUAGGCUUGCCACCACACACAGAUUAUUCUUUGCUAUCCAUCAUUCUUCAAAAUCAUCAGGGCUUGCAAAUCAUGGAUCGAGAUGAAAAGUGGCAUUCGGUUCCAGUCAUUGAAGGAGGCCUCAUUGCUCUGGUGGGAGAUCACAUGGAAGUCUUGAGCAAUGGUCAAUACACAGGUGUUGUCCACCGAGCAGCAGUUAACUCAGAGAAAAAGCGCCUUUCCAUUGCCAGUCUUCACAGUCUAGCUUUAGGUAAAAAAGUUAGACCUGCCCCAGCUCUUGUCGAUGAACAACAUAUAUUGUCCUAUAACGAAGGAGGAUUCAGUGAUUUCCUUGACUUCAUUUCUGGAGAAGAUAUUGUGCAGGUAAAGUACAUAGAUAAAUUAAAAAUAAAUCCAUGAUGAUUAUAUAUAGUCCACGGACAGCAGAUAAUCUGUGCUAAAAUCCUAAGGUGUAUAACCAGUAGCCAUUUUUUCUAUGUACUUUGUGCCAAUAUCUAAGGGUGGGUGUUUGGUUCUUCACUGGUGCAUACUGAAUUCCGAACAGAACUAGUUCGAUUCAGUUCGGUUUUUUUCUAAUUCGGUUCGGUUCUUCGGUAUGCGCUUGAUAAGUACUUCUUACUGCAAACCCAAGGUUCACUAAAUCUGGGUUGAAGAGAAACCACCAUCAACGGAGGUAGACUGUGUAGAAACUGGGCUAGAGAUGGUGUGUGCAGCAUCACUUAUGUACACACGUUGUUAUUGUCUUAUAAAGAAACUGGUCUUUAUUCCCUACAUUCAAUCUUUCAUAGCAGUGUCCAACUUUUGCUCUUCUUAUUCUUUAUUGUUUCUAUUUUUUAAGAAUAAGAUUGAAUGUAUCAACAACUCUUGUUCAAAGUUUCCAUUUAAUAAUGAAAAUCCUCUGUUCUUAAAUACAUGUCUCUUGAGCGAUCACUGAUAUAUUUAGAUCAGCAUUAGAAGUUGAGUUUGAGGGAAGAAAAAAUCUUUAAGUGAGCUUGUACUAUAUAUCAUCAAAAUGUUGAUAAACAUGGACAUACAAGUAUAAUUAGGGGAAUAUAUGCCUAGAGAUAUGGUUCACUGAAAGGUCGCUGCAGUAUUCUACACUGAAGCUCCACAAAAUUUCAGUUCUUCAGUUAAGGACCCAAAAACCGAGAACCGAACACCAAAGUCUUAAAAAAUUUAAUACCGAAACCGAAGAAAUGAAUUAAUUUGGUCCAGUUUUUCAGUUAUUAUGCCUCUCCCUACUAAUAUCACUUGAGAGAGGCUCUCCUUUCUUCACGCUAGGGGGAUUUACUGUGAAAAAUAAGAAUAUAAGGAUCCAUAACUUUUGCAUCUCGGUAUAGCAGGACUUGAACUUGCGAUCUUUAUGACGCAUUAUCAGGACUGUGAAAAAGUCCAAGGUUGUACCAACUGAGCUACUAAUUAACAAAAUUAAGACGCAGCAUCAGGAUCUUCAAUAAGUCCAGUGAUUUACCUCAGUUAUCUAACAUCGUAUACUUCAGCAGAUAGAAGCCAGCAACUGGAAAAUUCAAAUAAUUUUCAAAGUGGAAUUAAGUUCUAAGUUCCAACAUAAACAUCUAGUUUGUAUACAUAUACAUCAAAAAUCACCUUCCACGUUUUGUUUAUAUAGCACAGAAGCAGCCAUAUACAUCAAAAUGACCUUCCACAUUUUGUUUAUAUAGCACAGAAGCAGCCAGCAUAACAAAACAGCUCUGAUAUUUUUGAAAAAGUCAACAGCUCUGAUAUUAAUAUAUCGUUUUUUAAAAUUACUUCAGGUUUUCUGUUGAGAAGUUUUCAUCGUAAGCCAACAGGAAGUAUGCCUUCAAACUCAAGUUCCAUGACUGAGGUAAUGCUCACAUAUGAUUUGGCUUAUGUUUCGACAUCCAAGCUGUUUUCCCUCCAACACUAUCCACUCAUUCCAAAGCACCUUCAAACUAACUUGAAAUUGUUGCAAAUCAAGGAAUAAAUUUUCAGGCAUUUACAUAUGAAUUUCUUUAACUAAAUUGGUUAUUUUAUAUAGUUUGUACAACUUACAAACUUGCAAUAUUUUCCACUUCCAAAAGGUUAUCACCAUGCAUAAUCAGAAUCAAUUGUUAAUAUUUCUCUAAAUGAACACAUGCACUUUGUUUAUCUUAAUUGUUUCAAUUUACUUCCAAUUAAUUCCUUAUGUCAGCUCAUGAUAUUUAAGAUUUAGUGAUCGUUAGUACAUAAUUCAAGCUAAUAAUGUACUGUUUCCAUCGUAGAAUAAUAGAUCAUCUCCUUAGAAAUAAGCACAACAUAUCCUCAUAUCUCGUAAUUAAAACAUCAUAUUUUCCCAAUUAUUUAAUCUAGAGAUGGCAAGAUUUCUGUUUUCCCCCAUUCAGAUAGGUGUGGAGAUUAAAUUUUCCUCCUUUAUUUGGAGCAAUUAGACAACUCUCCAAUUAUUUGAACAACAUCAUUGUUUAAUCACAACUACCCUUAUUUGUCCGGUGUUAAAGACUCUCCAAGGAGGAUAAUGGAUAACAGUUAAAAGCCAAAGACAUUCAAUAAUUCGACGAACAAAAACGCAGCACAUUAAUGUAUUUCAACUUUCAAGUAAGUUUAAGUAUUCAUUUUCCUCCUUGAUAUAACUAAGAAUUUUCUAAUUUCUUCAGCUAUUAACACCAUAUUUCUUAGAAAUACAGUUUACGAUGCAAUUUUAAGUGUAUUAAACAAAAUUAUCCCAACAUAUAUUCAGUACUAUAACAAAAAUCAUCUACUUGAAGUUACUAAAACAAUUGCUCGACUUCUUUCCCCUUUUGACGGUCAAAUCUUCUCAACAAAAUAUGAACAGAAAAAAUCAAAAUUGCAGAUAUACAUGAAUCUCACUAUAAUUAGUACAUUACACGCAACAAAAAAAAUCAUCAAAAAUACAGAAACUCUCCACUGUUCCAGGCCAAAAAAAAAACGCGGGAAAAGCACUUACGAUAAUCGAUUCAAAAAAUUAGCCGUCACUCUCUUCCUUCCUUACGUCUCCGCCGGCCAUCGCUAAGCCUCUUCUCCGUCGAAUUUCCUUCCUAACUUAUUCUGAUUAUUUUCAACUGAAGGUGGCUUUCGGGGGAGGGGUGGGAAUAAUAUCCUGCGCCGCGGGUUUACUGUAUGCCUUUUUCACUUCAACCCCUUAGUUAGCCACGUGUAUGAUAACUGUAUCAUACGGUUCACAAUUUAGACUGUAGAAGGACUCAAAAACUUUCUUUUUGGUUUAUGUUUUCUUUUCUUUUUUCUUUUAAUUGAAUAUGGGUUCAAAUAAUGUUUUUUUGAAAAUCCUAAUCCUAUUUUUUUCCCCCAAAAAAAUAAAAAGUUGAAGCAAACUGCCACCUUAUAAACACUUUCAGGAACAUUUCAUUAAAAAAAAAGAUAUAUCUUGCAUUAAAUUAAAUUUGAUUAUUCACUUAAGAAAAAAAUUACCAUGAAUAUCCUGCUUUUUCACAAUAUAUCAACUUUUUGCGAGGAAAAGAAAAAAACUUAAUAUAAACUUGAUCAUAUUUCAUACUUGAAUUUACCUAUUUCGUCUAAAUGAAUACAUUUUCUCAAAUUUAUUCAACUCAUUUUAAUCGCAUUUUAUACAUCAAACUUUCGUUGAAAAUCAUAUAUCUCAUAUCAUAUCGCAUGAAUUAUAAAUUAAAAGAGGAAAAAGUGCAAGAACGAUAAAUGAAUAAUAGAGAGGGAAGAUAAGAAAGAUGUCAAAAAAAAAUGUAACGAAAUAUAGAAGUAGUUAAUCAUUAAAAACGUUUUUGUAUUGCUAGACGAUAGAUGAUAUAAUAUUUUAUAUAACUUUUAAACGAUUUAAAUCGAAAAUAAUAAGAAUAUUUUUAUAUAACACAAAGAAAGUUCUUAAAACAAUUAUAAGUAUUUAAAAAUUAUAUGAAAAAAAAAAGAUGAUUGUGAGUGUGCAGGCGGUGAAUAUGUUGUAGAGAAGUUUUCUUUCUUUUUUUUAUGUUUGGAGUUGGCAAAGCUCCGAUUAAAUUUGGAUUGCGCAUUGCAGGAUCAUUUGGGGUGACGUUUCCAACAUGAUUUUCUUCACAUCUAAGGCUCAAACACGAGACCUCUGAUUAAGAAUGAAGUAGUGUCACCACUGCACCAUAGCUCAUGUGGUAUAAAAAAGCUUUUCCUGCAGUCAACUGGAGACAGUGGGAUUGACACUUGGAUCCAAAAUAGAUGCUUCUUAUGCUUAUCCUGAAAACUCCCAAAUUCUAAAUACACAAGAAUAUUCAUGAUAUACAAUUUGAAUAUUCACAUGUAUCUAUAUCAUAUAAUAAAAUAAAAUAAAAUACCACUAACUUCCGUAUCCGUAUAUACACAAGAAUGCUCACAUAUAUCCAAUAAUAUUUUAUACAAUGUGAAUCACUAGUUAAAACAUAUAUCAUAAUGAUUAAUUAACAUAUAAAAUACACAUAGAACAUAACAAAAAGGUCUCUUAUCAAUUAUGGGUUGUUUGGUCAGGAAGAAGGUAUUUACGAAUAAGAAUUAGCAUAAUUUUAUAUUUUGUAUUUUUUUUUAGUUUCUUUGUAUAAAAUUAAUUGCUAGACAAGAAUUGAGAGAGAAAAUCAGUGAACUUGGAUAUAUUUCACUCGAAAUAUUAUAAUGGUAAUUAAAUAUUUUAUUUUUAAAACUUAAAUGAAUUUCUAGUACAACAAACCAUUCCAAAGAUAUAGUUUAUGUACUGUAAUUUUUGCAUAUCUGAUUUCUAUAUUAUUUAUUCUUACACUAUUAAUAUAUUAAUAUAUGCAUAACAUUAACUAGUAACCAAAAAUCAAAUAUAUAUAAACUCUACACAAUCAAUCUCUGCAUAACUCUUACCAAUAAUCACGGUAAAAUAGCACAAUUUUCAAUUUAUUUAUAUUAGCAAUUGUUUUAAAAAACGAACACAUGUAACUUAAUAUCGUGAAAUAAAUUACACAAAAAAAUGAAGUAAAAUAUGUUUCAUAGAAUUGUUUUCCCAUUUCGGUCUAAAUGAAAUUCUAUGUUUUUUUAUCAAAAUAUAUAGCAAGAAAUGUGGUGAGAUAAAUAGGACGUGGUGAAGUUUGAAUCCUAUGAAUAGAAAAGAUCGCCUUAUGAAAUACAAAAUAUUUGGAUUAAUCAGCAAAGCAAUUAUCGAACAUUGAAUCAUAUUAAACAAAGGAAAAUAUACAUUAAUUAUAUAUUACUUAUCCUCUACAUCUUUAUUCAUACUCGAAGAGAAAUGGAAAAAAAAAUCUGGCUAAUAAAAAUUAUAGAUACGAAAAAGAUUUGGUAGCAUGAAAAGAUGCCAUUAAUGAAAUGAAGUUUUUGUUUAUAGCUGAUUCAAGUAGUUUAAGAUUUGUUUAACAUAGAAAAAUCUAUUUAUUUCAAAAGCAUUACAAAUUUAAAAUAUGUUUCAAUUGAAACAAAGUCAUGAUUAAACUACAUAUAUAUUUGGAAAACAGAAUGUACAUGCAAAUGGAAAAUAAUAAACAUGUGUAAUUGGCUGCCUUUAUUAUUAUAUUUCUAAUAAUUCAAUAAGUCAAAAUCAGAAAGAAAUUAAGGAAACACCAUAGUGAAAGUACUCAACCGAACUUAAUGAACGGUUAAAAUGGAAGGAAAAAAAUAUCUUUACCUUUGUAAAGUAAGAGGAUAUAUCAUCGAUCAUCUUCUCUAGAUUUCAUUUGUAGACUUACACUUGAAAAAAUGAUUUCAAGAUUAGACUUUGAAAAAAAAAAUUAAUAUUAAGUUGUACCAUAAGCUUUGACAAUAAAUUAAACUUCAAGUUCAAAGAUAAAUUGUACAUGUAGAAGAAUGCACAUAUGCUUCGAUGAGAUUGAAGGCUAGUUCACUUGAUGAGCUCUUUGCCUUUCGCUUGAUGUAAUAAGAAAAACCAUCAUCGUUAAUUACUACUUCGAAAGCAUGCAUGUUUUGUUAUCAACUUUGAUCAUGUUUUGUUAGCUAGAAUAAAAUGUUAGAAAUGGAAAAAGUACUACUAUAUUAUAAGUUGUAAAUGCAUGUUUUGUUAUAUUCAAUAGACAUACCAAAAACAUGUCAAUUCUUGCAUGCAAAUGUACUAUGCAUAUUCUCCAAGAAUCAUCCAUCUUUUGCAGAAUUUAUCAACUUUGAUCCUGUUAAAUAUUGUUGCCUAGCUACAAUGUAGUGCUUAAUUAUUUUCCUUUCUUCUUUUUUCUUCUAUAUACAGUCCUAUAUCGGACCAUCAUAAAGAAUUUAUAUAGGCUUACGUUCUACUGGGCCCUCACCAAAAGUACAACCCCCUACCCCACCAAAAGAAAAUACACACACAGGGGAGUCAUAAAUUUUACUAAGGAUAUCCAAGAAUAAUGGUAUGUGACUGUCAAAAUAAAACAAAAAAAUAUUGUAUUAUUUAAGGUUCAAACCCAGAACUUCUUCGUUCAAAUGGACACCUAAUAUGCCAAAGACAUAACUUUUGUCAAGGAUGUCCAAAUUAUAAAUAUAUAUCCUUUAAAUAUAAAUUUUAACAUAUAUAUACACAAUAUAAUUUUCCAAUGAAUGGUGUCCAGUUGGACACCUUGAGAUAGCUCUAGCUACGCCCCAGCACACACAAGGACCCUUUUAAUUCUCUAGGUGUCAAAGAGGGUCAAAUUAAAAAAAAUUAUUUUUUUUAGACGGAUUAAAAAGGAAAACGAAAAAGAGAACGGAUUUUAGUACCACGUGGGCUUACGAAAGAAAGAGUUGAAAUUCUUGGGUACAACUUGUAGCUAGAUUCAUGCAUGCAUGACAUUUCAAUAUAAUGUUUUUUAGUGCGUCAUUAUAUAUAAAAGAGGUAUACAACUAUUCAUUGUAUGAUACAUUGCUUUUUUAACAAAUCUAAAAACCAGCAGAUUUUACAAAACAGCUGCAUGUUGUGGUUUGGUUUAUUGGAUUUCAGGUUGCAAUUUGGUCACAUAUGUACAAGAAGAUAACUUUAUAGGAUUACCAUGCAUAGAAAUUAAUAUUAUUCCCUUCCUUCUAAUUUUUGUGACAUAUUUUGUUUUUUGAAAGUGAAAUAAUUUAAGUUUGAUCGAGAAUUUGCUCGCGAUAUCUUUAAAUUUUUUUAAAUGAAAUUAAUAUAUUUGUAAACUACGAAAAAAGUACUAUAUAUAAGUCACAAUAAUUAUCAAUUCAAAAUAUUUAAUAUAUAUGAAAAAUUUAGAUAAAAAAUAGAUUUGCUUGAAUCGCGAAAUCGAUAAUGUAUCACAUAAAUUGAUACUAAGGUAGUAUUAAUUUGGGCAAAUUACAGAAAUCACAUACUUUUAAGACAAAAUUACAAUAUAUCCCUUAAAGUUUAUAAUUACAGAAAUCCCUCAAAACAGAUACAAUGAUACACUAAUCUGAUGUGCGAGAUACACUAAUCUGAUGUACAUUUUAUACAUGAUACACUAUCUGAUGCGCGAGAUACACUAAUCUGAUGUGCGAGAUACACUAAUCUGAUGUACAUUUUAUACAUGAUACACUAUCUGAUGCGCGAGAUACACUAAUCUGAUGUGCGAGAUACACUAAUCUGAUGUACAUUUUAUACAUGAUACACUAUCUGAUGCGCGAGAUACACUAAUCUGAUGUGCGAGAUACACUAAUCUGAUGUACAUUUUAUACAUGAUACACUAUCUGAUGCGCGAGAUACACUAAUCUGAUGUGCGAGAUACACUAAUCUGAUGUACAUUUUAUACAUGAUACACUAUCUGAUGCGCGAGAUACACUAAUCUGAUGUGCGAGAUACACUAAUCUGAUGUACAUUUUAUACAUGAUACACUAUCUGAUGCGCGAGAUACACUAAUCUGAUGUGCGAGAUACACUAAUCUGAUGUACAUUUUAUACAUGAUACACUAUCUGAUGCGCGAGAUACACUAAUCUGAUGUGCGAGAUACACUAAUCUGAUGUACAUUUUAUACAUGAUACACUAUCUGAUGCGUGAGAUACACUAAUUUGAUGCGCGAAAAUGAGAGAUUUUGGAGAUUUGUAAAACUUAUAGGGGAUAAUGGUAAUAAAUAAACUAAAAGGUGGGAUUUCUACAAUUUUUCCUAUUAAAUAAUAGAUACAAGGCGUUGGUCAUCUAUAUAUAUAUAUGUGUGUGUGUGUGUGUGUGGCAUCUUCUUUUGCUAUUAAUAACGAUUUUGUUAUGCCUAGCUAGCUCAUACAUGCAACUUGGUCACGUGGGAGACAAGAAGAUAUAUACAUAUGGAUGAUUUUUAAUUAUUUUUAGUCAACAAAGAUAAUGAAAACUCAUAAUGAUAGUGCUCUUAAUAAGUGAUAAUGAAAAUAAAUAUAAUUUAAUUUGAGCUUUAUUUGAGUUAUUCCAUGCUUAUAAGCUAUAAUUCUAUAUAAAAUUUAAUUUGUAUCAAAUCACAUUAUAAUAGAUAUUUUUAAAGUAUAAAGUAAUAUUUAUAAAAUUUGUAUAAAUAUAUUAUCGAAUUGGAUUGGUUUGAGCUUGACUUUGGGUUUUCUUUCUCAAUAUCAAACAAAGUCCAAUUAAAUCACUAGUAUUAAAAAAAUCGAUUUAUAAAUUUGAUACGAUUUGUCAAUUUUGCUUUUGAAUACCCCUAUCUGUAAUAUGAGCAUAUAAAUUGCAAUGUCUCAACAAUAAUUUAGUAGCAUACAUUUUCAGCUAAAAAUAUGUGGAAUAUUGUUUGUAGAUAGAUUACAAGAAUGAUUUUAUAAAGUGGAGAAAAAGUAGUGAACAAAACUUUUGUCAAUACAUGAUCAUAACUUAAUUGUGAUUAAUUUAACAAAAAUAAGUAAAAUGAAUAGUAUUUGUAAGUCUUGUCUGUUCGUUGUAACUUAUACUUAAUUGACCAACACCUGUUUGUAGCCAAUUGAGCAAAUAUUUACUGCUUUAAUUUGACUUAUUUUGAAAUGUCCAUAGCUUUUUUUAUUAAUCAAUAAGACCCCAGGGUCAUUUUAUAAACAAGAUUAAAAAAAGUACAUAUCUAAUUCUGCGAUACUUCCAUAAAUUAUGUUCCAUAGAUAAAAGUAAUUUAUGCCUACAACUUAUGUCCGAUGAUCAAAGAAAUUUUGCCAAUCAAAUUUUCUCAAGCGGAGAUUAUCUUUUAAUUAAAAUGGGAUUAAAAGUACAAAACCAUAAUUUAUUGGAUCUAAUCUUGUAAAUUACCCAAUUGCAAAUAACUUAUGCAUAUUUUUUUCUCAUUAAAAAGUGACUAUAUCCAAUAAUUUCGCUAAGGAUUUCAAUGAAAAGAUCUCCAAACUUAGUUGGAGAAGUAUGACAUGUCAGUUUUGCAGCAAUUCUCAAUAUUCUAUAAAGGCUCACAUCAAUUAUUAAAAUUAAAGAUUUAUUUUGAACUACAUGUUACAGUCACUAGAGACCCUUGAAUGAUAUAGUUUGACUAUUUUUUAAUUAGUUGGCGUGAAUUAUUUUUUAUCCCUAAACUAUCGACAGUCUUAAAAACACUCAUUUACUUGACUAAUUGAACUUAAAUGCACCCCAAUCUUGCAACAUGAUUGAUACACCCUACCUAAAUUCUUGUCAAGUUUAGAAUGUUUUCAAUACUUCUCUCAGUUUUUUAUUAAGAGUCACAUGUUCUUACAAGAGUUUGAGACCACAUGCUAUGUCAUGUGGCAAAUUUGGGGUAUAUCUAAGUUUAGUUAGUCAAGUAGCAGAGUAUUUUUAAAACUGUCAAUAGUUCAAAAUAAAGCUAAUAAUUUACGUCAAGUUCAGAGUGUUCUCAAUACUCCUCUCUUUUUUAAUUCACUUAGUUAAAAAGCAAUUGACGUAUAUACUUCAUAUGAUUCAUUUGUCCAUUGCUUAGAAUCGUCCAAUACUCAUUUAUGUAUAGAUUUUUUAACCAACGGCAGCACUUUUUUUUGAACUUAACAUACAUCGUAUGCCUCAGUUAAUUAAUCUAAGAUCGGCCGAUGGCGUAUUUGACAGAUUUUAAAAGAUGCGAAACUCUUUCCCUUUUAAAAUAAGUAAAAUCCUUACAUGGAACCUUAAGUUAAGUAGACCAUAAAGAUGGAGUUUUAUUUUAAGCAUAACUUAGUUAAGAUAGGUGUCCUAAUCCAUCAUAAAAAUAAUUAAGUGCUGAUUUCUUAAAUUAAUUAAUUUGAAAAUCAUCAAUAUGUUGUACGUUGAUUUGAACCCAAUUAAGAUGAGGGGAUAACAAUUACUUAUUAUCUUAUUCAUCGAUUAUUAUUAUAUUAUUAUUGUUGUUUUUUUACUAUGGUUAUCUCUAAUAUUUUUACUCUUUCAGUACUUCUCUCUUUUCAUUAUUUUCAUCAUAGCUUUUUUUUCAUCACAGCUUUUUACACUUGCAUUUCUUUUCAAUCGUGUUUUGAAAAGCCAAUGUCUAUCAAAAGCAAUCUUUCUAUCUCAAGUUUCUCUACCUCACAAGAUAAGGUUAAGAUUUGCAUGGACCCAACCCUCGUAGAGCCAUCUAUCAAAAAUGGUCUCUCCACCUCACAAAAGUAAAGGUAAAACUAUAUACACCCGACUUUCUCCGACUCUCUCCAGACCUAACUUGGGGAGCUAUAUUGAAUAUCUUGCUGUUAUGAGAAUUAAACCAACAGACGAACUUAUAAUACAAUCUAUCAAAUUAUUCUUAUGUGAGAAAUUUUCUCUGUAAUACAUGGUAAUUAUUACUUUUCAUUAAACUUACACUCGUACAGAUAGACCUACACUUAACCAAUUUUUAAUAACUACAAAAAGAUAAACAAAUGUCAGCCUAAAUUUUUUUAUUCGAUAUAGAAUACAAAACUAUUUAAUAACUAGAAAAAGAUAAACAAAUGUCGGCCUAAAUUUUUUUAUUCGAUAUAGAAUACAAAACUAGUGUGAAACCUAAACAGUAAUAUGCUCUAUUUAUUUAUAAAAGUUAUCCACACACAAAAGAAAUUCGAAGUCGAAAAAGAUAUAUACGGUCAAUCAAAUUUGGUUCGUGAAAAAGAAAGAUAAGGAAGGAAAAAAAAUUCGAAGAAGCAAAUGUUUAAAAUAAACAACAAAAUAAAAAAUUGCCGUCUUUGUCAUGGCGUGAAUCUGAACACGGUUACUCUAUCGGAUUCAACUAUUAGAAUCGCCAAUUACCAAGCCCUAAAAAGUUUCACUCUUUGGCACUUCAUGUAAAAUGACUAUAUAUUCUAUAUUUCUCCAUUGAUUAUAAUAGUCAUGGUACCAUCACAUUUUACGUAUAUUCAUUACAUUAACAUGUAUAACUCGAUAAAUAAUUUAAAGCUCCAACCAUAUCUUCAUAUUUUCCUGCUUAUAAAUAGGGAGUUAAAAAGUCAUAAACAUAACACAAUAUGGUAGGAAGAAUGAGAGAGAGCUCAGCUUCAGCAAAUGGUUCAUUUACUAGUGCCAUGACACUUAUUGAAGAGGGACUAACCUAUGUUCCCAAGCGUUACGUCCUUCCACCAUCCCUACGCCCCGAUGGAACCCUGUGUAACACAUGCUUGCCAAUUGUGGAUCUAUCCAAUCGGCAACACCCUCUUCUUCGGUCUCAGAUAAUCCAGGAUGUACACCUGGCUUGCAAGAAAUUUGGUUUCUUCCAGGUACUACUUGUCGUGAAGUGUCCAUGAUACCUGCAAUCACGCACUAGCUAGAAUAAGCUAUUUAUUUAUUUCUUCAGUAUACAUAAAGUUCCUAGAGAUAGGGAUCCAAAUAAGAAGAAUAUGCAUGCACCAAGUAACGAAAAAGAUGUCGUCAGAUCGGCAUAUAGAAAGUACUACAUGGUGCAUUAGAGUUCUAAGCUUCAUAUCCCUUUGUCUCAACUCUUCCUUUUUAUUUUCAGUUGAUCUGUUAAAACAGACAUCCUAGAUUUUGAGAUACUUAGGUUGUCUAACAGGAAGAGAAAUAAGACAAUCUUCACAGAUUCACCCUGAACGUAAAAUAACAACAUGCAUGCAAUAAAUGACUUUGCAGGUAGUUAACCAUGGUAUCCCAUUGUCAGUCAUGGACAACGCCAUACAUGCUGCGAGUGAAUUCUUUGAUUUACCAACUCAAGAUAAAAGGCAUCUUUUGACUUCGAAUGUUUGUGACCCCGUAAGAUAUGGUACCAGUCUAAACCAUGUCAAAGACAAAGUACACUUUUGGAGAGACUUCCUCAAGCACUAUGCUAAUCCAACCUCAACUUGGAUUGACUUGUGGCCAUCAAAUCCCAAAUGUUACAAGUAAGUCUUUCAUUGUCGUUGUUGAAUGUGUUUAGCACAUAUGUUUGUUUUAUAGAUGCAUAUUCUUACUGUCCAAGAAAGAUAUAAUUUCUUCAAGAUCCUAAAGAAGUUAUUCAUGCAGGAAGAAAAUGGUAAACUACACUAUGGCAGCACAAAAGUUGCAAGAAGGACUCAUGGAAGUGAUAUUUGAGAGCUUAGGACUAAACACUAAUUACUUACAUGAAGACAUUGCGGAAGGCUCCCAGGUCAUGGCAGUUAAUUGCUAUCCAGCAUGUCCUGAGCCAGAUCUUACACUAGGAUUGCCACCACACACAGAUUAUGGUAUGAUAUCCAUCAUUCUACAAAAUCACCAGGGCUUGCAAAUCAUGGGCCAAGAUGAAAAGUGGCAUUCAGUUCCACUCAUUGAGGGAGCUCUCACUGUUCUGCUGGGAGAUCACAUGGAAGUACUGACCAAUGGGAUAUACAAAAGUGUUGUCCACCGAGCAACAGUUAACUCAGAAAAAAAGCGCAUUUCAAUUGUCAGCCUUCAUAGUCUAACUUUAGGUAAAAAAGUUAGACCUGCAUCAGCUCUUGUUAACGAACAAAAUAUCUUGUCCUACAAAGAAGGAGGCUUCAGUGAUUUCCUUGACUUCAUUUCGGGAGAAGAUAUUGUGGAAGCAAAGUACAUAGACACAUUAAAAAUAAAUACAUGAUGAUUAUAGUACAUGGACAACAGAGCAGGCAAUACUGGAAUUCUCAUUUUUACACUCUUCAAACUCCAUUUUGUAUGAUCCGUGUUUUACAGUAGCCAGAUUUUCUAUGUACUUUGUUCGAAUUUUGCUGGUGAGAUUUUUUUAUUUUUGCUUUUUAUUUUAUUUUGUUGAGAAAAAAAUAAGAGCUCUUCCUUCAUACUAGGAGGCCUUGCUGUAAAAAAAAAAAAUUGAACAAACUUACCAGCCAUUUCAUCUUAACCAAGGUUUCCCUCAAGGCCACUUAUUUUGUUGCACCACCAACAAAAUAAAAAUGCAUCUUCAGGAUCCGAUGAUUUAUCUCACUUAGCUAACAUCACAACUUGGCAGAUAGAAGCCAGCAACUGGAAAGAAGUUCUAACAUUCACCACAUCAAGUCCAAUUUAAGCCAAAUGUUGGUCAUACUACAAGUUUAGAACUCGAGCCACAUUCAUCACUGGUAGACGCACCUAUUGGGAAGAUGUUCUCUCACACAAGGUAAAUUUUUAAUGGUAAAUAGACACAAGAAUUAGUUAUGACCUUAAACUAAUUAGACCAGCAAAGAACAUUAUAUUGAUUUACAGCCACAACCAUAUACAGCCAAAAUCACCUUCCAACAAUACAUUCUGCACAUAUAACACAGGAAUAGCCAGUAUAACAACUGCUCUGACAUUAAUAUUAGUAUCAUUAUUUUGUGUGUGUUCUUUUAGGUUUUCUGUGUCAGAAGUUUCCUUUGUAAGCUAACAGGGAAGCAUGGCUUCAAAACUCAAGUUCCAUGACCCUGGUAAUGCUCACGUUUGAUCUCGCUAAUGUUCAGACACCCAAACUGUUUUACCUCCAAUACUAUUUACUCAUUUCAAACCUUCUCCAAACAAUCUUGUUAUUAUCGCUAGGGAUGGCAAUAGGGCAGGGCAUAUUCGGGGUGGGGCAGGGAGUGUUGUGCGGGACAGGGCAGGGCGGGACAAAAUAUAUUUUCGAAAAAUUAUAAUGAAGGCAGGGAAAGUGGUAGGGCAAGGGGUUUCAGAUGCAAAUUGAAAAUUUCUCAACCUUAUUUCAGUGUCGACAAUGGGAUUGUUGUUGUCAACGUACUAAUGAAAUAUCAAUUGUUGGGUGCUGGCAACGUUUAAAAUAAGAUUUCAUACUAAAGGAAUAUCAAUAACUUCUUUUUUAUUUAAAUAAGAUCAAUAUGGGACAACUGUUUUACUAUUACUUGAAAUCAAAUUAUUUCAAUUACAAAAAUAUUGAAAUAAAAAUAUUGUAAAUUUUCCCUGCUACUAAUUCCAAAAGUAAGCACUCGCAAAAGCCAAAACAACAUAGAAACUAAGUUUGUGUUGUAUCAUUUUAUACUCCCUCCGUUCACUUUUACUUGUCCACUAUUCCUAAGAAUAAAUUUUACUUUUAACAUAUCAAGAAAAGAUAAUUAUUUUUUUCUAUGUUUUACC
rnacentral:lncRNA from 1 species